UACCAUCAAAACGAGAUGUCGUAGCUCUCUACAACCAAAACAACAUCAGAAGAAUGAGACUCUAUGAUCCAAACAUAGAGGCACUCGAAGCUCUCAGAGGCUCCAACAUUGAAGUCAUGCUGGGCCUUCCCAACGAGAACCUCCAAAGAAUCGCUUCCAAUCAAGCCGAAGCAAACACUUGGGUCCAAAACAACGUCCGAAAUUUUGCUAACAAUGUCAAGUUCAAAUACAUUGCUGUAGGAAAUGAAGCAAAACCUGGAGAUAACUUCGCUCAGUACCUUGUUCCCGCCAUGAGAAACAUACAAAACGCCAUCAACGGAGCCGGCCUUGGAAACCAAAUCAAGGUUUCCACUGCCAUCGAAACUGGAGCUCUUGGCGAAUCUUUCCCUCCGUCAAGAGGCUCAUUUAAACAAGAUUACAGACCCAUUCUUGAUCCCCUCAUUCGUUUCCUCAACGAAAACAGAUCCCCCUUGCUUCUCAACCUGUACCCUUACUUCGCAAUUGCUGGUAACCGCCAAAUAUCUCUGGAUUAUGCACUAUUUAGGUCACAACAGACGGUCGUUUCCGACGGAUCGUUAAGUUACCGAAGUCUUUUUGACGCCAUCUUGGAUGCUGUUUACGCCGCGCUGGAGAAAACCGGCGGGGGGUCUCUGGACAUCGUGAUAUCGGAGAGUGGGUGGCCGACGGCUGGUGGUGACGGGGCGUUGACGAAUGUUGAUAAUGCAAGGACUUAUAAUAAUAACUUGAUACAACAUGUGAAGCGAGGGUCACCAAAGAGGCCUGGAAGGCCUAUUGAGACUUACAUAUUUGCUAUGUUUGAUGAGAAUGGCAAAAUGGGACCUGAGAUUGAGAGGCAUUGGGGACUUUUUGCUCCAAAUAGGCAGCCUAAAUACCAGAUUAAUUUUAAUUAAUUAACUAAGCUAAAGCGACUGCAUGCACCAACAGGAUUCGAGGUAAUAUUUAUACUGGAAUAAAUUCUACUAUAUGUACUAGUGCAUAAGACUUUGUAUCACCACCUUGCAUGGGUGCAUGAGAGCAAAUUUCAUGAGCAAUAAUGUCAAUGUUUACUGUUUUGCAAAGCUUAAUUUAUAAUACUAUGUCCGAUCCUCAUUUGUGUACAACGUGUAGGACAAUUUAAAGGGAUGGUUGACGUUAAAUAACAAUAGGCUUAAAUUAAAACCAAAUGGUUAUCAUAUUGAAAACAAAACUGAAUUGAAUUUGAAAUUUUAGUUUGGUUCAGUGUAAAUUGAACUAUGUGUCCAGUCCUCUCUCUCUCUUUCUAAGAUUUGAAUUUAGAUGGCCAACUAGAAAUUAAAUCGUGUGAAAAUCAUUUGGUCAAGUCCCUAGCAAAGAGUUUUAUCCUGUAGUUGUUUUAUUAAAAACAUGAAAUAUAAUUGUUUGGUUAAGAACAUAUACAAUGCUUUUAAUUAUGGUAUAAAAGUAAAUCAUAAUUAUCGAAUUUUUGGAGCUUACAUUACCGCUACCGCUGUAUAACAUAGUCUAAUAUACAAGGAAAUAAUUUGUUGAAUAUAUCUAAUUAUAACACGAUCCAUUUUUCACUUGAGUCUUGUCGACUAAUACAUUAAUAAUAUGUUUUGUGCUUGUCAUCACUUGAUAAGAAUCAUACAAAGAUGAUGCAUAUACAGCAAGGAUCAAGAUCAUAAUGUGAUGCACAUGUGACAGCGAUAAGGACCAUAGUAAUAUACACACAUGGCAAGCAUCAAGAGCAUCAUGUGAUGCAUAGAUAGAAAGAAUCAAGACCAUUUAGACAUGCACAGAUGACAAUAAUCAAGACCAUUAUAUCAUACACAUAUGAAAAGUACCAAGAAUAAAAUUAAAUUUGAAAGCUGAAUUCCUCAUUUUCAAUUUUUGAUUAUUUUCCUUUAUGUUAUUUAAAAUCUUGUAUAAAUAAGCCUUUGAGCCAAUGAGAAUAAUAAGAGUGAAAUCUAUAUUUUCUCUUAAAAGUUUUCAAUCACCUUGUUUAAACUCUAGAAACCUUAUUCAAGCAGCCUGCUGACAGAGUGAAAUUUAGUUAUCGGUUGACUUGACAUUAACACAUAUGCAGAAGGUCGAUGAUGAUACCAACAAAAUUGAGUUUUCUAUUUUCCACAUAACAAGAUAACAAGUAGCAUUCAAUUGGAAUUCUGCUGCCUCAUUGAGCACGUAUCGAUAAAAAGAUUUAGAAUAUACAAAUACAAUAUUGAAAGUGGCAGUUUUGGCAUUAUUUGUUACAGCAGACAAAGACUUAGUUAACAUCUUCUUUCACUCCAAUUGAUUUUGGUCUAAUUUAUUGGUCCUGGCUAUUCCUCAAUGAAAAAUACAAUAUAUAAAAAUCAAAUUAUGAAAAAUAUAAUGUUUAUCCUCUGCUAAUCUAUUUCCAAAAAUUGCAGGAAUCCCAUCGGAUGGGCUAAAAGUACCAUAUCUUCUCAUAAAUUAACAUGUCAUCAUGACCAAAUAAAGGUGCAAUUCUUUUCCUAGUUUUAAAAGUUGAGAACUCUAAACUUUUUUAUUAUUAAUGCUGUUUGAGCAAGAGUAAGAAGCUUUAAUCCUUUCAGGUGAGUGGGUAGAAAAUUGAAUUGUCCUUAGGCUAACAUUUAAAAAAAAAUCAUAUUUGUAGAAGCCGUAACAAUAAAAUUUUGUUUCUAACGUCCUUCUCGAGCUCUACAAGUUAUUACAAGGCAGCAUCAGCAUGCAUAUGCAUGCAGGUUUUCUUGUGUAGCAUGUGCACCAGAUAAUUAAAUAUCAAUAAUUAAAAAUUAUUUUUUGAUAGCACUUUUGAUUGGUAUGAUCUUUAACCGAAAUGGAUCAAUUGAGUAAGGGCUCAUGCUCAUCAGCUCAUGCACAUGCAUGAAUGGCGACUUAAUUAAGCAACAAAUUAAUAUUAAAGCCACCAACAAGAUAUUUCUAAAUUGAGAACGUCUACAUAUUUUUGUAAUUUGUACAUGGAUCCUUUGAGUUAAAUGUUGUCACAUAUGCGUCGGCGUAUCUUCAAAAUAAGCAACCAUACGAUAAAGUAAAUUUAUACAGAAUGAUUAUAUAAGUAACACGUGACAUUAUACAAUAUUGGAUUUUUUCAUGACCACGUCGAUGAUAAAAUCUAAUCACGUCUUGCUCCACUUUUUAAUACCAGAUUAAAAAGAACCGCGUUGUUGAGUAAUUGAAUGUCAACAAAUAUGAACACCGCAAGUAUGGAGGAAAUUGCAGAAGGGCACAGCCAAUGAGACAAAAGAUAGCGACAUGCUCAAGAAAAUUAUUAACUUCAGUACUUUUCAAAGAACCCAAAAACAAACUGGUUGAGUACUUUGUUUCGAAAUACUUAAGAUGUCAACAUAUUAUCAACGUGGCAAUACACACACACACAUAUAUAUAUUUUUUCCUGCCAACAUGGUUCAUGGUUAUGGUUACUCUAUAAGAGGCUGCUUAGAAGAGGUGUUGGUAUCACAACUUUCCAUUUGCAUUUUUCUCUAUGGCUAAAUUCUUAUCCUCUCUCAAUACCCAUUCAAUGGUUUCCGUCGUCUUGCUACUGCUGGGGCUGCUAGUGGCUAUCCUAGACACUACAAGUAUGUGCGUGUGCAUAUAUUUCUCUAAGGAAAUGAUCCAAACCUCCUGUUGUUUGUAAAUUAAUCGUUUCCUCUAUGUUUCAAAAUCCAUCAAAACUGUCCACUGUUCACAGGGAUGAUCAAUUGAUUUUCAAGUAGUUUUCUCUCGCUAACCACCCAAGUUCGAAAAUUGGGAGAGAUUUUGGGGCUAAAAAAGUGUUUUCUAUUUUGCGCUCAAUUGACCCUUUUUUUCAAAGAAAAAAAAUCAUCACAAAUCCUUGUGGCUAAGAAAUUUCUGUUAACUUUCAAUUUUUGUAUCUUCUAGUAUUUUAUUCCUAAGACUUUUAUUGAUAAAUAAUGAGAUUUAAUGUUUUACUAGUAAAAGACACACAAGAAGUUGGAAUUUAAUAGAAAAUUUUAAAAGACGAGGGUUUUAAGUGCGAAAUGAUUAAUUUACUGAAUCCAACAUAGCGGUUUGCUCAUUUUCCCUAUCUAUCUUUCUCUAUGUAUUGAUAUUAUUCAUAACUAUAAGUUUUAAUUUGUUGAUUCUAUGUAUAUCAUUGCAGGUGCUCAAAUAGUUGUUUGCUAUGGAAUGUGUGGUAACAACUUACCAUCAAAACCAGAUGUCAUAGCUCUCUGCUACCAAAACAACAUCAGAAGAAUGAGAAUCUAUGAUCCAAACAGAGAGGCCCUCGAAGCUCUUAGAGGCUCCAACAUUGAAGUCAUGUUGGGCCUUCCCAACAACGACCUCCGAAGAAUCGCUUCCAAUCAAGCCGAAUCAAACACUUGGGUCCAAAACAACGUCCAAAAUUUUGCUAACAAUGUCAAGUUCAAGUACAUUGCUGUAGGAAAUGAAGCAAAACCGGGAGACGACUUCGCUUGGUAUCUUGUUCCCGCCAUGAGAAACAUACAAAACGCCAUUAAUGGAGCUAACCUUGGAAGCCAAAUUAAAGUUUCCACUGCCAUUGAAUCUAGAGCUCUUGAAGUAUCCUCUCUGCAGGAUCCUUUAGGCAAGACAACAGACAAAUUUUGGGUCCACUUAUUACUAUCCUCAACGAAAACAAAUCUUCGUUGCUUGUUAACUUGUACCCUUACUUCGCCAUCGCUGGUGACCGUCGAAUAUCUUUUGAUUAUGCACUAUUUAGUUGGAUGCUACUUAUGCUGCGUUGUGUUGAAUAUAUGCAACCAUUUUUACUUUGGUUAAAAAUGCAUGUGGCUAGCAUAGAAAGGUUGAAUAUGCCAUCAAGGUUAGCACCGAACCUUGAAAAUUUGAAAAGUGCCAAGACUUUUGCUUUGAAAAUGGCUAGCAUGCAUGGCAAGGUUCAACUAUAAAUAGAGGAGUAAUUGUUCAUUGAAGGCAUUCCAAAAUUUGAGAGAGUGACAAUUCAAUUGUAGAAUUAUUAAGAGAGUGAGUUAUUGGAGAGUGUGUAAUUAAGAGAUUUUUCCUUUUAAGUGUGUGAGAGUACUAGGUCUAUUUGGGUUUUGGAAAGUGAAGUUUCCUUUACUCAAAUAUUGUACUUCAAUAAUUGUUAGUGAUACAAUUAUUUUCUCUUCCUCCCGUAGACGUAGGCAUAUUGUCAAACCACGUUAAAUUUUGUGUUCUUCCUUUUUUUGUGAUUAUUUGGUGCGCUCGAUGCCACAUUCCGCGCACAAUAAGUGGUAUCAGAGCAGACAGUUCAUAAAUGAUAUUGUUCACGUAUACAAUAUUAUUCAUGUGCAGUAUUGUUUAUGAAUACGGUGGAGCUAGUAGUUCGUAUUUAGGAGGAUCAAUAUUUUGUGUAGUGUGGAUUUGUACAUGUUUAGUGCGUUUUUUCCAUACAUAUUGAUCUCUAAGGUAGGAAUAAUUUAUUGAGAAAAUGGUAGAAGGUGAAACUUACAGAACUGGGGAGAGAUCUACCCAAACUAUUCUAGGAGACACUACGGGUGGGAAGCGAGACUUGUCACAUCGCCAAUCAGCACCUGUUAUAGGAGAUCAAAAGAUCGAUGUUGAAAAUUUUGAUGGGAAAAUCAACUUCGGCAUAUGGAGGCGCGGAGUUAUGGAUGCUCUUAUUCAAAUCAAUCUCGAUGUUUUUCUGAAAAAUAAAAGAUACAUGUAUGACAAAGAAACUUGGGAUUGUAUGAAUGAAAAAGCUUGUGGUCAAAUCAGAUCUUUCUUGACCAAGGAAGUGAUAUAUUUAGCGAAAGAUAAGGAGCGUGUGAUGACUUUUUGGCGUGCAUUCGAGGAGAAGGACUUGUUGAAAGGUUUUAAAAAUUAUCUUCAUGCAAUGAGCCAAGUAUAUGACUUUCGAAUGAAGGCCGGGGUGUCAAUGAACGAUUAUGUCUCAAGAUUUGAGAAUGUGCUUAUAGAUUUGAAAAAUCUUGGUAAAGAUAAUAAGGAUGAAGUUAAGGGACGAUUCUACUACACUCACUUUCAAAAGAAUAUAGUCAUUUUGUGACCACUUUAUUAUAUGGGAAAAACAUGAUUAUCUUCAAGGAUGUUUGCACAGUAUUAACUAAUUUAAAAAUUCAAAAUAAAGAUAAGCGUUCUGAAAGAGCAUCAUCUGAAGCUUUGUCGGCCAGAGAAGGACGAUAGAGAAAAAGAAAAAUCGAGGUGAAAAGAAUUCUCGGUCCAAAUCGAGAAGCAGAAAUAUAGCUCAAGAUUAGUGUCUUUUUGUCAUGAGAGUGGCCAUUGAAAGAAAGAUUGUCCAAAGGCUCAGAAGAGAGGGAAGAAACCAGUAGCAAGAAAUAUGACAUGUAAAGAUGAAGACUCUGAUUAUUCGUUAAGUAUUACGCCAGCAGCAUACGUGGCUAAUUUGAGUGAGUGGAUACUUAAUACUGGAGUUAUCUACCAUUUGUGUCCUAUAAAGAAAUGAUUUAUAGAUUUCUGUGAUUUAGAAUCCAAUUUAGUUAUGAUAGGGAAUGAUCAACCUUGUCGCACAAUGGGGAUAAGAGCAAUUCGGCUCAAAAUGUUCGACGGAAUGGUCAGAGAACUGAAAGAAGUUAGAUAUGUUCCAACUCUGAAGAAGAAAUCAAAUUUCUGUAAGUGCUUUGGAGGCUAAAGGCUACAAGGUUACCAUUGAAGAUGGCAAAAUGAAGUUCACACAUAGGGUUAUAGUGAUUCUACAAGGGGUUUGAUGUCAUAAUUUAUACUAUUUGAAAGAAGGUAUAACCGAUGAGCUAAUGUUUGUGAUGGACACAGUAACACCACCAAGCUAUGGCAUGUACGACUAAGACAUGCUGGAGAAAAGUCUCUGCAAACUCUAAUGAAGCAUGAACUUUUGAAAGGUACCAACACCUGUAAAUUGAAAUUUGGUGAGUAUUGUGUUGUUGGCAAGAAAAUAAGGGUCAAGUUUGGUAUGACUAUUCACGAUACUCAUGAUAUCUUUAAAUAUGUUUACAAUGAUAUAUGGGGACCAGGAAAGACUGCAUUAAUUGGUGAAAGCCAUUAUUUUGUUUUAUUUGUUGAUUAUUUCUCUAGAUGUGAUUGGCUGUACACCAUGCGAGUAAAUGAUGAGAUUCUAGAGAUUUUCGUGAAAUGAGAGAAAUUUAUGGAGACUUAAACUAGCAGAAUGAUCAAAGUAUUACGUCCUCAUAAUUGGGGUGAAUAUACUUCUGAUCUAUUCUUGUAAGUAUACCAGAGUGAGGGUAUUAAAAGACAUUUCAUGGUGAGAUAUACUUUGCAACAGAACGAUGUGGCUGAGCGUAUGAAUCGUACUUUACUGGAGAAAGUACACUGUAUGUAUCUAAUACUGGUUUAGAUAAAAAGUUUUGGGCUAAGGUUUUGAGCUACGCAAAUCACUUGAUAAACAACUUGCCUUCUACUAUAAUUGGAGCUAAAACUCCUAUGGAAAAAUGAUAUGGAAAACAUGCACAAAACUAUGACUCCAUUCGUAUGUUUAGGAGUCCAACUUAUUAUCCUAUAAAGAAUGAUAAACUCGAUCCUCAUGCAAGAAAAGCUAUCUUUAUGAGAUUUAAAGGUGGAGUUAAAGGAUGCAAGUUAUGGGAUCUUGAAAAUAAAAAGUUUGUGUAUAGCAGAGAUGUCACUUUUGAUUAAGCCUCUAUGUUGAAGGUUUUAAGUUCUCAGUAGGUGGAGAACAAGACCAAUGAGACAUUACGGUGGGUGGAGUUUGAUAUAACUUUAUUUUUACUAGUUAGUUCUACAUAAGAGAAGAUUUCAACUUUAGAGGAGCCCAAGAGUAGAAGAAAAAGCUUUUUCUGUUGAUGUCCCACAAGAGGAAAAAACAACUGAAGAUAUAGAAGAUGAAAAUGACAGUAUAGCAAUAGGGAGACAAAAAAAAGUGAUAAAGAAAACCGAAUGUCUUACUAAAGACAUGGUGGUAUCCUAUGCACUUCCAGUUAUUGAUGAUGACAUCCCCAACUCUUUCAGUGAUGCUUUAUGCAGUACUAAAAGUGACCAAUGGAAGUUAGCUAUUGAAGAAGAAAUGAAGUCUCUUUAUCAAAAUUAGACUUGGGAACUUGUGGAGUUACCUAAGGGAAAAAGGGCUAUUGGCAAUAAAUGGGUCUACACCAAGAAGCAAGGUUCUCCAAAUUAAACAACUCCUCGAUACAAGGCAAGACUUAUAGCAAAAGGCUCUACUAAAAAGGAAAGUAUUGACUACAAUGAAGUGUUCUCUCCAGCUUUAAAGCAUACUUCCAUUCAUAUCCUAUUUGCCUUGGUAGCUGAAUAUGACUUAAAGUUUGCUCAACUAGAUAUUAAAACGUCAUUCUUACAUGGAGAUUUGGAGAAUGAAAUCUAUAUGACUCAGCCUUGUGGUUUCAAAAUUGCUAGAAAUGAGAAUUAUAUGUGCAAAUUAAUUAAAUCUUUGUAUGUAUUGAAACAAUCACCAAGACAAUAGUACAAGAGAUUUGAUCAAUUCAUACAAGGGUAAAAAUUUACCAGAAGUGAACUCGAUUACUGUGUUUACUUUAGAAGACUACAAGAUGGGACUUUCAUCUAUCUGUUACUCUAUGUCGAUAAUAUUCUUAUAACUUUGAAGAAUAGAUGUGAGAUUGAAAGGUUAAAGAAGCAGUUGACUUCUGAAUUUGAGAUGAAAGACUUGGGUGAUGCAUAGAGAAUACUUGGAAUGGAGAUGCGUGGAGACAAAAAGAAUGAGAGUGUAUGGUUAACGUAAAAGUCUUAUUUGAAGAUGCAAAAGAGUUUGGUAUAGAUGACAAAACUAAAACAGUUUCUACUCAUUUCAAAUUAAGCUCUUAUUCAUGUCGUACAUCUCAAGAGGAGCAUGACUACAUGGCUCGUGUUCCAUAUACUAGUGAUGUGGGUAGUCUUACGUAUGUUAUGGUGUGCUCAAGGCCGUGAGUAUAGCUAGUUAAUACAUCAUAAUCUAAACAAAAACCAUUGGCUUGCAAUGAAGUGAAUGCUCUGAUAUUUGUAUGGGACAGUCAAUAUUGGAUUAUUGUUAAAAAAAAAUUAUGGUCAAUAAUGUGUUAGGUAUUGCAAUUCUAAUUUUAGCGGAGACCUUGACAAGUAAAGAUCAACAACGGGCUAUGUAUUCACAUUGGGUGGAGGUUCGAUUAGUUGGAGGUUGAUUUUACAAUCAACAAUUGCUCUUUCCACUACGGAAGAAGAGUAUAUGGCAGCAACUGAUGCUGUAAAGGAAGCUAUUUGGUUUAAGGACUUGUUACGAUAUUUGGGAGUAAUCUAAGAGAAUAUUGAGGUCUUCUAUGAUAACCAAAGCGCGAUAUUCCUAGUAAAGAACCAAACAUAUCAUACUCGGACAAAGUACAUAGAUAUGAAAUAUCAUUAUGUGAGGGAGGUUAUCGAGAGCGAUGUUAUGUUGUUAAGAAAGAUUGAUACCAAAUAUAAUCCAUCAGAUAUGUUGUCAAAGGUGAUUUUGGGUACUUAGGCAAUCACAGCUAUGCAACCACUUUAGAGAUGAUGGAUCAUUAAUAGUCGGCUCAGAUUUGACAAAUCUGAGCUAAGGUAGAGAAUUGUUGAGCACAUGCAAUCUUUUUUACUUUAGUUAAAUAUACAUAUGGCUAGCAUAGAAAGGAUUAAUAUGCCACCAAGGUUGGCACCGAAUCUUGAAAAUUUGAAAAGUGCCAAGAAUUUUGCUUUGAAAAUGGCUAGCAUGCAUGGCAAGGUUUAGUUAUAAAUAGUGAAGCAAUCGUUCAUUGAAAGCAUCCCAAAAUUUGGGAGAGCAACAAUUCAAUUGUAAAAUUGUUAAGAGAGUGAGCAACUGGAGAGUGUGUAAUUGAGAGAUUUUUUCUUUCAAGUGUGUGAGAGUAUUGGUUGUAUUUGGGUUUUAGGAAGUGAGAUUUCCUUUACUCAAACAUUGUACUCUAAUAAUUAUUAGUGAUACAAUUAUUUUCUCUUGCUCCCGUAGACAUAAGCAUAUUGCCGAACCACAUUAAAUUUUGUGUCCUUUAUUUUUCUUAUGAUUAUUUGGUGCUCUUAAUUCCACAUUCCCCGUACAACAUGUUGGAGAAAGCGGUGGGGCUCGUUGGAUAUUGGGAUAUCAAAAAGAGAGGGGCCAACAGCAGGUUGUGACAGAGCAUUAAUUAAUGUGGAAAAUUGUUGGUUAAUUUUAAACUCAAUUGCUAUUGAUGCCAAUAUGCAAGUGUACAUAACAAGUAAUAAAGUGAUGAGUAUUUAAGAUCGUCUCCAUAGGGAUUGAUGUUACUAGAAAUACUACAGCAAUCACAAUAGUGCUAUCUACCUUUAUUUCAAGAUGAACAAAUUCAAAGUUGUUUGCUAUCGAAAUUAACAAUUGUAAGGAAAUAAAACAACUAACUGCAGUAAUAAAAUAAACUAAGUAAAUUUCUUAAAAGAAUCAAUUGAGAAUGAGGUAGUUGAAUGAUCAAACUCUCUUCAUGGGUUGACUGUUUUUCAUCAAAUUAAUACCAAUUGCUACAGCAAUUCCUACAGCACUAGGCAGAAUUAUUUUGCAUCCUCAACUGUCGCGUGUUGGACUUCUCAUACCUUUAAGUAUCUUAACAUCGACUAGUUGCUAUUCUACAUGAGGCAUGUCAUUGUGAACAUCCACUCUAUCAACCCUACAAGGUGAGUGCAUAUUUCUAGUUUUUCACAAAUCUUAACUUCAAGUAUAGCCCUUAUGGGAUUCAAGAUAAACUCAAUCCAGGAAACUCAAAUUAAGAUCAAGUAUUACUCCCGUAAUAUCCACUAAGACAUGCCAUUUUGCGGCUCUAUCUUAACUUGAAGCAUUAAAUGGGUGGCCAACCGAAAUAACAAUUAUAAUAAUAGCUACUGGAGUAAAAUGCUAUAACAAUCAUACAACAACUCAUAAGAACAGUCAAAAACCCAUUCAGAUUGUUUGUCACUCAACUAUAAGCAAGUUUAGUUCAUCUUUUGAAAAAGAGAAAUAAACAGCAAACUAAUGGUCACGAAAUACAUUGGUUCAAUCAAAGAGCAGAGAAGAGAACAAGUAAAGAAUGAUGGAGACUGAAUCCAAACAACUCUCUGGAUUCGUUACUGAUCCAGCAUCCGUUCCCUUGAAUUCUGAUUGUGUUCUUCUUGUCCUCUUGAUUUUUUCUAUGUUAAUUCCUUGCCGCCAUUUUAUGUGUUGCGCGCCUCUUUUUAUACUGAAAAUUAGGAUAAGCAUAAGCCUAGGGCGCGCAUGAGUCAGAUUAGGAAAAUGUAGAUAUCAAUUAUGCAAAUAUCUCGUGCUAAGAUUUCUCUAUCAUUGUUCCAGGAUUGCUACAGCAAUGGCUGCUCCAGCAACCAGUCUAGCACUGUACUGUUCCAUAUUUUAUUUUACUUCUUUUGUGCCAGCCUAUUGCUUCAACAUUCUUUUCCUGAAUCAUAAGCUUCUGAAAACCUACGAUUAUGCACACAAUUUGAUCACAAAUUAAAUUAAUCAAGCAAAACUUAUUAGGAUGAAACUAAAAUGAAUGUUUAUGCAAAAUGUAACAAAAAUGCAAUAAAAACACAUCAUUUGCUCUCUAAGUGAUCUCGAUUUAAGUUUAGAAUUGUCAUAAUAACUCUCAUUUUAUAGAGUUAUCAAUAAUGCAAGGACUUCUAAUAAUAACUUUAUACAGCAUGUGAAGUAAGGGUCACCAAAGAAGCCUAACAUACCUGUUAAGACUUACUUUUUUGCUAUGUUUGAUGAGAAGGAAAAACAGGGAGCUAAGAUUGAGAGGCAUUAGGGACGUUUUGCUCCAAACAAGCAGCCUAAAUACCAAAUUAACAAUUAACCAAAUCAGAGCAACUGCAUGCAACAGCAAAUUUAAAGUUAUAUUUGUAAUGCAAUAAAUUAUUGCACCAUAUGUAUUACAAAAUAAGAGUUUUUAUGAUCACCUUGCAUCUAUGCGUGAGGCCAAAUUUCCGUUAUCAAUAAUAUCAUAUUCUCUUUCAAUUUUUUGUAAUGUCAUGGAUUGUGGUAUUUAAUUAUAUAUCAUAUUCUCUUACAAUUUUUUUGCUUAGGUCAAUCAACAUGUAAUGUAAUUAUUCCUUGGCUUUUAUGUAAUGUAAAAACGCGCCCACAUCAUCACACAUGAACACUUGGGUAAACAAUUACAUUUCCCUUUUCUUCAAGGAAAUUUGACUGGAGCUUUCUGCGAAUAUAGUCUUAUUAAGACAAAAAGAUCAAAAUUAUGUGGCUGCAGUUUCUGCGUAUAAAAUACCAAUGAUCUUUUAGCAUGAUCUUGAUGACUUGUGUAAUUUUAUUUUUUACACCUCAAUUGUUAGGAUAUCAAUAUAUCUUUUAUACAUGCCAUUUACAUUCCUUCUAUUAAUUAUAUAUGUUGAAAGGCUUGUGUAGAGCUCACCUUUGUUGCUCUUUCUUAUAAGUUAUCACCUCUAUUAUGGAAAUAAGAAAAAUCUUUGAUGAAAACCAUCAUCUAUAAUCCAGGAACAUUCAUGUUGUAUCACCAAGAAUUAAUAACUAAAUUAUGCAGAAGUUUACCUAAAUCUAUAACCCUGACUUGCUCUAUGGGGUUGUGUGGUUGGCCUUCCAGAUAUUCACAUUCUCCUAGAGAGUCAUUUCUCUCUGAUGAUAAUGUCAAUAGAGAAUAGAAAGAUACGUGUAACCUGGGGACCAUAACCACUUAUAUAGACAACUUGUUCCUGUUGUCACUGGGUAUUCCUAAUUCUACCCAUUAUAGAAUUAGAAUACUAUUAGGUCUCACACAUUGAAGGCCCACACCCUAUUUUAUGCAUUAAAGCCCAUAAUACCGAAAAUCCAAAUAGAUAACUUUUAAUUGAGGUUAACCUUAUAUGAAAAUCUACAACACAUAAUUAUUUACAUAUAAGCCCAAUGUUGGAUUAAGGAUCCAACAAUAUUGGAUUAAAAAAUCUAACAAUCUCCCACUUGGGCCAUAUGUGUAACCUUAUAAUUAUAUUUUACAAAAAUAAUCAUAUGAGCUCAACCUUACUACCAUUACCAUAAUGUAUAUGUAACCAAUCCGGUCCAUCAAUCAUACCAACAUAGAAUUAAAUCGGCCUUCGCUACGAUUAUUGUAACUCGACUCAUCAAUGGUCGCUAUGCCAAUAAGACUAAAUGACAUGGGUCAUGAUGUGGAUGUGCAGCAUGGAAAUUUCAUGCAAUGUGAUCUUAAUGUGCCUAUUUCCAACUGGUUCACCUUAAACUUUACUAAGAUCAAACCAUACCAAAAUCAGAGUGUGAAUAAACUAAAACUUUAUUUCUGUAGAAAAUAACCUGAAAUAUCCAUAAACUAAAAUAACUAAAAAUGUCUAUAUUAUAAGAGCAUCUAAAAUCACAAAUUCCCACUAAAAUUGAUUAUCCUUUAACGACAUGACACCCAUAUGAGCAGUGUGCUCAUGAAACAUCUUGAGGGGCAAUCCCUUAGUAAACAGAUCCGCAAUCAUGGAGUCUAUGUCGAUGUGCUCAAUAGACAAUUGUCCACUCUGAACUUUUUCUUUAACAACUAGGAACUUGAUGUCUAUAUACUUUGACUUUGUUGAGCUCCUGUUGUUAUUGGAAUACAGCACUGCUGACUUAUUUUCACAAAAUAAUUUGAGUAGUCUAUCAACAUUAUCUACUAUAUGCCGCUGGUGACUUUGAUUAAACAAAUAUUUAUGAAUUGUGCUUUUAUAAUAAGAAAAUGAUGUUAUGGAAUUAAAGCAUUUAGGACUAAAAUGAAAGUAUUUUAAAAACUUUGAUAUUAUUUUUAAAUUUUAGAUUUAGACAUAUUUGAAACUAUUUAAAUAUUUUGGGUUAUUCUAUAAUUUCACAUAACUUAGGUGAAAUCAUAAUUUCAGAAAGUUUUGGGAUUGACAAAGCAUUAUUUAGAAAUUUUGAAAUUGGACCUAUUUGAAAGAUUUCAUAACAUUUUGGGCCAUAAAAUAGUUUUAUAAAGUUUUGAGGUCAAACUGUAGGAAGCGGCUAACCGGAUAUGGUAAGCGACAAUCCGGAUUUUGGGCAGUAAGCUUCUGAAGCAUAAGCGGUUAUCCGGAUUUCGCAAGCGACUAUCCAGAUUUCAAAAGCGGCUAACCAGAUAUGAAAAGCGGCAUGCCGGAUAUUCUGAAAUUCAAAUUUUUGCCUUAACAGUAACAUAAAAGCGGCUAACCAGAUUCCAUAAACGGUAAGCCGGUUAUGACCAAAAUGUGCAUAACGGCCAGUUUUUGGGGUCAAACUAUAUAAACUCAAAUCCAAUUCAUUUUCAAGCUCUCUAGCACGCAUAAACAAAAAACACACAAGAUAUCUUGAGCUCUCAAUUCGCAAAUCAUAAAACAUUGAAUCAUUUCUUGUUCUUCAUCUUGAAUAUCUACUCUUUGAGUGAGUUUUGUUGUAAUUUUUAUUUCUUCAUCUUAAUUGUAAGUGUUUGAGUGUGUGAGACACUUGAGUGAAGAGAUUGGGAGAUAAUCUCUUUGUUGUAAAGGUUCAUUGACACCUUGAAGUCAAUUGUAAACGUUUGAAGCCUUGGAAAGGCUUGGAUAGUGAAAUCCUCAAGCUUGGAUUGCUUGGAGGCGUGGACGUAGGCGGGGAUUGCCGAACCACGUAAAAAUUUGUUUGUUUAUUUCUCUUCUCCCUUGCUCAUUUGUUAUUGUGCUUUUAUUGAACUUAUUGCUUUCGAAUUUAUUAAGGCGUUAGAUUGGAUUAUUUUAAAAUACCAAUUCACCCCCCUCUUGGGUUGCACACUUAUAUUUCAGCAGCCCCGUGACAAAAUUUUGUAUCCAUAUUCCGUGAUUAAAUGCAUCAUAACAUUCUAUGAACUUUGUUGCCAUUAUAGAAGAGGAUAUAAAAGACUAUUUAGCAGUCUUCCAAGAGACAGCACCCCCAAAUAAUAGAUAGAUGUAACCCGAAGUGAAUUUCAUACUAUCUUAGCAUCCAAAAAAAUCAGAGUCAGUAAACCCAAUGAUUUCAAGUUGAUCUGACCUCUAAUAUGUGAGCUUGUAAUCUUUCGUUCUCUGUAAGUAUUGUAAGACCUGUUUAGUUGCUUUCCAAUAGUCUAUUCCUGAUUACUUAAAUAUCUUCUAAACAUCCCAAUGACAUACUCAAUAUCCGAUCACGUACAAACUUGAGCAUAUAUCAAACUUUCUACUGUUGACGCAUAAGGAAUCCUCUGCAUUUCCUUUUCCUCAAAAUCAUUCUUAGGGCACUGAUUGAGACUAAACUUGUCUUCGUUAGUCACAAGGGUAUCGCCUCGUUUGUAAUUUUGCAUGCCAUCAAUAUAGCUCUUCUAAGAUAAUCUAAGAAUACCCUAGGGGCGAUCCUAGUGUAUCAGUUUGCCUAAUACAAAAGAGGCGUCACCAAGAUCUUUCAUCUCAAAAUUCUUAGUUAGAAAUCUCUUGGUGUCGUGCAACAAGCCUAUAUCGCUACUGAUAAGCAAAACGUCAUCGAUAUAUAAAACUAGAAAAAUAUAUUUGUGUUGAGUGUUAGAAAAAGUAUAUUUAUAAAGGAGAAAAUCGUCAUUUUACACUUCAAGUUUUACUAACACCCUUACUUUUAUGUAUUUAAACUUCUUGUCAUUUAAUUAUGUGUGUUGUAUUAUAAUUAAGUAUUUUAUGUAUUUUAGGGGCAUCAUAGUCAUUUCACAAUAAACGAGAGAUCAGACGGCAAAACGGACAUCACUUUUGAACUCAGGACGGUCGAAAACCUUAGGAGGAGCAUAAAAGGAAAAAUGGCACUGUUCACAUGUACAGUACUAUUCACAUGUACAGUACUGUCUACGUUACUGUUCACGACACUGUUCACAUAGACGGAUCGAUGACGUGGUAUUGACCGAUGAUGUGGCAUUGACUGAUGAGAUGUCACGAUUAUGUUGGACUAAAAUUCUUAUGCACUGUUGAUCGAUGACGUGGCAGCACAUCAGUGGACCAAAAAUCUUGCGUACGGUACAUGCAUUACACAGGAUUAUUUUCAACCAAACCGCGUCACUGUUCAAGCCAGGUCAAACUGUGUUACUGUUCAAACCGCGUGGUCAAACCGUGUACUAUUGACCGAUGAUGUGGCGCAAUCCUGAGCGUCCGAAAUAUUUUUGAUCUGAUGGCCAUGAUUUACUCAAUGUAUUUAUAAAAAAGGGGCUCUCCCCCCUAAUUUGAUAUCUCUGAAUCCAUUUUUGGAUUCCAUUUUCUGUAAUUCCUUCUCCAUCUUGUAUUUUCUACGUAUUUUAAUAAAUUUUCAUUUUGCCCCUAGUUCAAUUAUGAGUAGCUAAUUUUCUUUCAUGCUUGGGUUGAAGGUGAAGCCUCAACAUGUGUCAUGGGCUUUAUUUGGUAAAUUUAUUUUCUCUUCCCCUCUAGUUUUUGUGGAUGUUUUGACUUCUCGUUGACAAAUAAUAAUAAGCUUAUCUAGAUACCGCCCUGGUUUCACCGGCUCCCUAGUACAAGGUUAUUAUUAUUUGGCACGAUAAGCCCUUAGCACCAUAUUGAUUAGAGUGUGGUUCAUGAGGUGUGAAUUCCCCCCUCAUGAUUUAAUUUGUAUUAAUAAGGAAUAUUUAGCCUAUGGUGCAUGUUGAUACGGAUCCAGAUACCCAAGUACGUCAUUUCAAUAGAUUUCUAUUCAAUUCAUUCUCACCAUUUAAAAUCUAAUUUUAGAAUAAUCUAAAGUCACUUUCACCACAAAUCCAACCACUCAUUUAAAAAAUUAAUUCUACACAUUUAAAAUCCACCUCCUCGUGGGAUCGACACUCGUCACCAUUGAUUUAUACUACAAUAGAUUCGUGCGCUUGCGAGUUCAAUAAAAUUUGCACAACAAUUUGCUCCUAUAGAACUUAUGGUAUAUGCAAUCAUCGACUAAAUUCAUCUCAAAACUGAAUGAGAUGAUCACUUGAUGAAGUUGAAAUACCAUUGUCGAGAUGCAUGUUUAAGCCCAUAGCUGAUUUCUUAAAUUUGUAAACUAUAUUCUUUGGGUCUCUGGAUAUAAAGUUUUCUGGUUGCACUAUAUAGAUUGUCUCAUCAAUGUCACCAUUGAGAAAUGUCGUCUUUACAUUCAUAUGAUGUUACACAAGAUUGAAAUACACCAUCAAUGCCAUUAUAAUCCUCAAAGAGUCUUUCAAAGAAACCGAAAAGAAAGUCUCUUUAUAGUCGAUGCCUUCUUUCUGUGUAAAGCCCUUGGCGACAAGACGCGCCUUGUACCUCUCCACAUUGCCUUUGGAAUUCCUCUUGGUCUUAAAUAUCUAUUUGAAACUAAUAGGUUUUGUACCUUCUGAUAAUGGGAUAAGAUCCUAAAUGUCAUUGUCCUUUAUGGACUUCAUCUCUUCAUUCAUGGCAUCAUGGCUUGACGGAAAUUAAUUGGAUCAUUUUCCAUCAUUUCAAUGUCUACCGCAUGUUCUUGGAGAAAUAUAAUGUAAUCAUCUGGCAAUGCACUUCUCCUUUCCUUAUAAAUCUCCUUAAUGGCAUAGGUUCUUGAGAUAGUAAAGUUUAGGAUUCUCUAAUAUUAUCCUGAUCUAUUAUGUUUUGAACAAAGUGAAGAAUGAGACCCCGAUCAAUGCAAAUAACACCUAUAGGAAUAUUAACAUAUUCCUCUUCAAAGACAAAGUCUCUAGUUGUAUCUCCCCCGCAAACUCGACAUCCUCAAAGAACCGAGCCAUUCCCAACUCGAAAAUCGACUUAGUCGUGGGAUCAUAAAAUUUGUACCCCCGGAUCGUUCUAAGUGCCCAAUAAAAUAUUAACUCACCAUUCUUGAGUCCAUUUUCUUCUCAUUAAGCCUAUAAAGCCUUGUCUUAACUGGACAUUCUCAAACAUGCAAGUGCUUUAAACUAGACUUCUUGCCUAUCUAAACCUGAUAAGGGGUUUUGGUAGUCUCCUUAAUUGGAAUUCAUUAUUUCGGUUGACCACCCAUUUAAUGACACUAGCUAAGAGAGAACUAUAAAAGGGUAUGUUUUAGUAAAAUAUAUCAGAGCAAUACUUGGUUCUAUACUGAAUUUCUUGGACUAAGUUUUACUUAAUUCCAAAACGGUCAUAUUUAAUCUAAGAUUAGUGAUGAACUAGACAUAGGGAUUCAUCUUGUAGGGUAAAUAGAACCUAAACGUGUAAUGUUAUAUCUUGUGUUGGCAUAACAAUUGGUCAUUGUUAGGUUGCAUAAAAAUACAAGAUAUCCAACAUGUGAUAGCUGAGGAUACAUAAGGAUUCUAUCAGUGCGGUAGCAAAUGCUACAACAACCGAACCGAAAAUUAGAAGAAAUAGUCAAGACCAUUAAGAGAGUUUAUUCCCAUUAGUUUCAUCUUUACGUGUGACGUGAUAAUUUACUUUACUGCAUUUUUAUUUGUUGCAUUUUUAUUUUAAUUGGCUUAUUAGUUUUAUUAAGUGUUUAAUUUUCAAUUAAAGUAAAAUUGCACUAUUAAGAUUGUUAUAGCAAAUCUAAUAACAUCAAUCCCUGUAGAGAUAAUCGCGAAUAAUUAUCAUUAUAUUACUUGUUGUGUACACUUGCACAUUGACACAUAUAACGUAAGAAAUCGCGCAACAGGAUUCUACUUAGGAUAUAUGCUGCAAUCUUAAGGGCUUCUCCCCAGAGUCAUUCUGGUAAGAUAGAAUGACAAAUCAUACUCCUCACCAUAUCUUUAAGCAUCAAGUUUUGUCUUUCAGCAACACCAUUCAUAGUGAGCAAACCCGGCAUAGCGUACUGUGGGACGAUAUCGCAUUCCUAUAGGAAUUUAGCAAAUGGUCUUGGACAUUGUUCACCUGAACCAUUAUAUUUGUACCACAGUCAGACCUGACGCUUUUGAUUCUUUUGAUGAUUUGGUUUUCAACUUCAACCUUAAAGAUUUUGAACAAAUCUAAGGACUGUGACUUUUCAUGGAGGAGAUAUAUGUAGUCAUAUCUACAAAAAUAGUCUAUGAACGUCAUAAAAUAUUUUUAACCAUUCCAAGCUACUAUAGGAAAUGGCCCACAAAUGUCUUUAUAAAUGAGUUUUAAGACGGCCAAAGUCCGUUGGCUUUAAAUAUCCUUUUAUUGGUUUGUUUCCCUUUGAUACAGUUAACACAUUUAUUAAAAUCUGUGAAAUCUAAGGGAUCAAAAAUUUCAUGUGGCACAAAUCUCUCUAUGGAAAUAUGACCCAAUCUCUUAUGUCAUAACACAGCUGAAUUCUCAUUGGUUAAUUUUCUCUUUAAACCUCGUGUACUUAAUUGCAAUGAUUCAUUAAAUGAAGCAAUCACAUCAAGCAUAUAAAGAUUACCACUUCCUGACAAAGAACCGGAAGUAACUAGUUUUGAAUCAUGAAACAAACUUAAUUUUUCGUUUCCAAAUGAACAAGAAUAAUCAUUUUUGCCCAAAACAAAAAUGAAAAUCAAGUUCUAUCUAAAAGACGGAACAAUAAAUGUUUCAUCAAGAUCCAAAUAAAAUUUGGUCUUUAAUAAUAAUCUAAAUUUUCUAAUUGCUUCAACUUCAAACUUCCUACCAUCACCCAGAUAGAUGCAUCUUUCACCAUCAUUGGGCUUUUGGCAAUUCAAGCAACCUUGCAUAGACACACUGAUGUGAGUGGUUGCACCAAAAUCUAUCCACCACGUGUAUCUAGGUACCAAAGUUAAAUUAACCUUAGAACAAACCCAACCAUGCCCUUUAAUUCCGUAAAAGAAACAAUUAGUAGCUUCUCGAUCAUCCAGUUUCUUUUGUUGUUUCUUUUUAGGUGUUGUAUCUGUAGCUUCCUUAUUCCCAUUCUUUUUUUUUAACCCUUAUCCUUGCCCUUAUUCUUUAUUGAAAUCAGAUUUGUCAAGAGUGUGCUCAUUUUUGCCUUUUCGUUCUUGACAAAUCAAUUUUCAAUUUCUAUAAGAAACUCUUUAAUCGUAGUUAUCCUUGCAGACAUAGAGUCCUGAAUGGUUCCAUAAUGACCUUACUCAUGAUCAUAAUACACGUGCGAUUUGAUCUCUCCUACCUUUCCAUAUCCCUUUUAUCAUUAAUGGUAUUUUCAUCCUUAAGAGGUGGGGGAGAAUCAACCCUUAACACAAGGUAAAAAUCCGUGACUGCCAGUACAAUUAAAAAGUUCGCUUCCCAUGAUUUGAAGUUGGAGCCAUUUAGCAUAGGAAUAAAAUUAAUGUUGGCAGUAAUAUUAGCAAUAGACAUAACUGAACGAAGAACAACAAACAAACCAAAUAGGCUUAUAUUAGUCUUAAAAAAAUUAAAUUUAAAUAAAGAUAUCUCAAGAUAUCGGGUACUUCAUUAAUAUUUCGUCUUUGGACAAAAUAUUAAUUCGUAAGUGAUAUCUUAAUGUAGUAAUCAAAUACUGAUAAUAAGAACAUGUCAAACAAUGAAUCUUUCUUUGGGCUUAUUUAUUGCUCACAUGUAAAACCGAAUAAUCAUUACAAUGUACAUGUAAUUCUAUUAAAUAUAGACCUUCCAGUGGGCCGAUCGAUAUUAACAUAAAUUAUUUGUACAAAACCAUUUAUAUUUAAAAAUAAAUUAAUUUUCAUAAGAGAGGUCACUUUGGUGACAUGUCGCUUCAAUUAAUUUAUCUCAAAAUGCAUAUAAACCUACCGAUAUUUGAAUUUAAAAUUGCACAAAAAAUUAUCUAAAAAAAUUUUUAAAAGUCAAAUUUUGGUCACCGGUCAAAGUCAACAUCAACGUUGACCUUUGACCAAUAAUCGUUUACUGGUACCCGAACCUCAUCCUGAACCAACCCACAAAUCAAACCAACUUUUUUUUUUUUCUCUCAAUGGGCUAAACGUAACAUUAAUUUUGAUAGGCUAAUAUCAACCAAACGUUAAUUUUAAUCCAUCAAGCCCAAUAUAUUAUGCCCAAAAUUUAGUUUCAAUAAGCCCAAACAAAUUUAGGGCUUAAAUGAGAAACUUCAUAACUAUUUUACUGUAAACGAAUGUUAUAAAACCUGAGGAACCUUCAUGAUAUAAACCAUAAAACCCUAAUUGCACUUUUGCAUUUUUCCUUCUCCUAGCUUAGGCGGCGGCCAUGGCAGCCGCUCUCACCUAAGCUGUCGCAGCCACCAGGCUGUGGCUUGCUUGAUGACGCGACCUGAUGAUCGCGCCAUUCCUAGCAAAAAAAAAGAACUUGACCACCAUCUCAUUUUUUUAUUUCCUUUUUUUAAUCUCUUUCUUCUUCCUUGAUGCGGCAGCCUUUUACCUUCUGCCGCUGCCGUCAACCACGACUCAACCUGACUAUCACCGCCCUGGCGUCGAUGCCGAUGGUGGCUGGGCUGCCGUCGGCUUUAAACCUUAAACCGAAUUUUUAAAAUUUGAAUUUUUUAAUUUUAAACUGUAAAUCUGAAUUUAAAAAAUUCUGGAAAAACAAUUGCAUAUUUGUUCUCAAAUUCAAUAAUUUUAAUAAUUCUAGUAUUAUUAAAUUCGAGAAUACCAAAGAUUUAAUAAAUAAUCAAAGAUAAAUUUGAUUCUCAAUGAUUCAAUAUAAAGAUGCUCUGAUACUAUUUGUUGGAAAUAAGAAAAACCUUUGGUAAAAAUCAUCACUUAUAGCCGAGGAACAUUCAUAUUAUAUUACUAAAAGUCAAUAACAAAAUUAUGCUGAAGUGUGCCUGAAUCCAUAAGGGUGAAUUGCUUUCUGGAGUUGUGUGGUUGGCCAUCCACAUCUACACGUUCUUCUAGAGAGUUCUUUAAUUCUCUCACGCUUUCUCUCUGAUGAUGGGAUAUCAAUAGAGAAUAGAUAGAUAUGUGUGACCUAGGGACUAUAACCACUUAUAUAAAUAAUCUUUUCCUAUUGUCACUGGAUAUUCCUAAAUCUGCCCAUCAUAGAAUUAGAAUAAUAUUAAGUUUUUACACAUUAAAGGCCCACACCCUAUUGAUACAUUAAAGCUCAUAAUACUGAAAAUCUAAAUAGAUUACUUUUAAUUGGGCUUGACAUUGAUAUUAACAUCCAUUUAUGCAGAAGGUCGAUGAUGACACCUAACAAAUUUGAGUGUUCUAUUUUCCACAAGACAUGAUAACAAGUCGCACUCAAUUGGGAUUGAGUUGCCAAACACUUGGCAUCUUCUUUAACUCCAAUUAAUUUUGGUCCAUUUUAUAUAUCCCGGAUAUUUCUCAAUGAAAAAUAAAAUAUAUAAAAAUAAAAUUAUGAAGAAUAAAUGUUUAUCCUCUCCAAAUCCCAUGGCUUUCAUAAACACUUCUUGUUUCAACAACAAUAAUAGAGAGAGCAUUUCUUUUAUGGAACUUAUUAAGAUAACAAAUCGAAAUUAAAUAGAGAAUGAAUGUCUUUAAGAUUGAACGAUUGUGUAUAUUGAAAGAGAAAUUACUGAUAGUAUUGAUCUAUAUCCAAUAAUUUUUUUUUUUUUUGAAGAAUCGCAGGAGACAACUUCAAUAGUGUUUUUCUAAUUUACAUCGUAUUUUUAUUAUUAUUGUUAUUACUCUUUUUUUUUUGCAUGCAUCUUACUUCAAUAAUUUCAUUUGUGUAGAAUAAAUAUCUUUAGGAUUAAGACUUAUUAUGUCCUUAAUUAGGUAUAUCUUUAAUUUCUUAUUAAUAAACUCUCUCUACAAUAGAAAAGCAUUUAAUUAGAAAAAAAAUUAGCCCACCCCAAAAAAAAGGUAGCUUGACUGUUGGGAAUUGAAAGGGGAAUCAGAAUGAUUAUUUGUGUUUACUUACUAAAAAUAUAAAAGAAUGAUAAUAGAUUUUGAAUGGGAUCAACAUAUUCGGGAAUGGAAAUUUCAUUUCCAUUUUCAUAGGGAAGUGAGAAUGAAAAUAGAUACUGGAAAUAGAAAAUGAAUUGACAUUGUUAACUUUAAAGAAAAUCAAAAUUUCUUUUUUUUUACCCUAUUUAAAUAUUAAAUAAUAAUUAUUAUUAUUACUAUAAUAUUAUUAUUAUUAUUAUUGCUACUACUACUACUUAUUGUACCUAAAAAAAGAUCGAUAUAUUAAUAUAGUGUUUACUUCCUGAAGUGGAUGUGAGGAGUUUAGAUUCCUCCACUCCAGUGUUUACCAAUUUUAAGGGAGAGUGGAAAUCUCACUCUAUGGGGCCUACCUUUUUUUGGAGUGGGGAGUGGAUUCUUUUUUACCCUUAUAUAUUUAAUAAAAUAAAAUAAAUAAUUUUUAAUAAUUUAAUAAAAUUAAAUUCAUAAUAUCUGCNNNNNNNNNNNNNNNNNNNNNNNNNNNNNNNNNNNNNNCAGUUAUUUGAAAAUAUAAUAUUAUUAUAUUUAUUUAAAAAUAAUAGUAUUAUACAUAUUUAAUAUUAGUAAUUAAUAAUAAUCAAUAUUUUAUUCUAAGAAAAUAUUAAUUUUGUAUUAUAUUAUUAAUAACAAUGUUUCAUUUGUGUUGCUCUUAAUAAUAAUUUCUUAUUUACAUAAUUAAAAUUAAAAUUAAAAUUACUAAAAAUUGUGAUUUAUGUAAUUAGGAAUAUUAAUAAUUAUUAUUAAUUUGCAAACAUAAUAAAAUAAAUAUUUUAUUUUUCAAAUAUAUUUUCUAAUAUUUUUGUACUUAAAAAGUACAAUUCUUUAAAUAAGGAUAAAACUGUAAUUUGAAAUUAUUUAUUCUCAAUUUAAGACUAUGUAAACAUAUAAAUUGGAUUCUGAUCUCAAUUCUAUGCUCCCAUCCUAAUGUAAGUAAACAACUUACUCUCGCUCCUACUCCACACUCUUAAUUCUAGGAUUUCAACUCCUCAGAAUUUCCGCUCCAAUCUAAAAUGUAAAUGCUAUCUAAAAUUAUGAAAAUAUGUAGUAGUGAAGUACGUUCUCAUUUUGGGAGUGUCUUGGUGGUUGUAAUAUAUUAAUUUGUUGUUUAAUUAAUUCGCCAUUCACGCAUGUCUAUGAGGAUGAGCACUUACCCUAUUGAUGUGUUUUAGGUUUAAGAUGAUUCUAACGAUCAAAAGUGCUAUGAAACAUAAAAAUAGUGAGUUUCCUUCUUUGGAUUUCAUAUAUGCAGUAACUGGAAUAAUUGGAAUUGAAAUGAUUAGCAUCAGUAUAAGUUGUUUAAUGGAGUUACAUGAACUGAAAUUGAAAUGAACUGUAUUUCUAUUAAUAUGUACUUACUUUGUCUUGUAAUUGAGAUUAAUUUUUUAAAUUAGUAAAUUGCCCUGAAUUAAAAUUAUGUCUUCAUUCCCUAAUAAAAUGAUAAGUAACACUAAUUUUGGAAUGAAAUAUAUGCACUUUUAUUAUAAUAGUAACCUUAAUAUUAUCAUUUUUUUAUAUAAAUUAGUUGUUAUAAAUGUAACCAACCAUACAAAUAACACAUAAAAUAAAGUACAUUAAUAAUACACGAAUGAGAUACAUAUAACAUGUAAAAUUAUAUAAUUGGAUAGUUGCAUGACCACGUCGAUGAUAAAAUCUAAUCAAGACUUGUUCCACUUUCUGACGCCAUAUUAAUAAAAGAAUAACCGUGUUGUAUACUUCGGGUAAUUAAUAUAAACACCGCAACUAUGGAUAGGAAAAAAUUGCAGCAUUAGGGCACGGGCAAAAGAUAGUGAUAUGCAGCAAGAAAUUAAAUUAGCCUCAGACUUUUUAAAUAACCGGGAAGACAAGCUGUCGAAUUAAUUUAUUUUAAAAUGUUCAAGUUUUAUUUAUUAUCAAUGAGGAAUUCUUUUAUUUUAUUUUAUUUUAUUUGGCUUUUUUUGCCUUCCAAUAUGCUUCAUAGACAUCGUCAUGAUUUUCCUCUAUGAAACGGCUGCUACGAAAUGUUGUUGGUAUAUCACACUUCUGCAUUUUCAUUUUUCUCCACGCAUGGCUAAAUUCUUUAACUCUCCCAAUACCCCUUCAAUGGCUUCCGUGAUCAUGUUACUUCUUGGACUGCUAAUGGCUACCUUACACACAAGAAGUAUGUACAUAUCUUUCUCGAGAAAAUGAUCAAAAUCUCCAUGUUCUUCAUCAAAAAUUAAUUAUUUCCUCCAUGCUGUAAACUUCAUCAAAACCAUACUUGACCGAAUUAUUGUUUUAAGUAGUUUGUUUUACUAACUACUCAGUUCGAAACCUAAAAGAGAUUUAUUAAUUUGACUUCUGUCCACCCCUCACAUUAAUUUUUUUUUUUUUUAAAAAAGAAAGACAUCAAAAUCAAUUUUGAGUUUUAGUGUUUUACCACAUCAUAAGUAGUUUGUAAAAUAGACAAAACAAGCUAAAAAUUAAUAGAAAUUUCUAAAAGACGGAUUUUGAACAUGAGGUGCCAAACGAUUAAUUUACUGAAAUCAACACCGUCUUUGAUCAUUUUCACCAUCUAUAUAUAUCUCUAUGAAUUAAUAUUAUUCAUAGACAUAUAAUGCAGGUGCUGAAAUAGGUGUUUGUUAUGGAAUGGUUGGUGACAACUUACCAUCAAAACCAGAUGUCAUAGCUCUUUACAACCAAAACAACAUCAGAAGAAUGAGACUUUAUGAUCCAAACAGAGAAGCACUCGAAGCUUUCCGUGGCUCCAACUUUGAAGUCAUGCCAGGCCUUCCUAACGAUGACCUUCGAAGAAUCUCUUCCACUCAAGCCGAAGCAAAUACCUGGGUCCAAGAGAACGUCCAAAAUUUUGUUAACAAUGUCAAGUUCAAAUGCAUUGCUGUAGGAAAUGAAGCAAAACCAGGAGACGACUUUGCGCAGUAUCUUGUACCCACCAUGAGAAACAUACAAAACGCCAUUGACGGAGCUAACCUUGGAAGCCAAAUCAAAGUUUCCACUGCAAUUGAAUUGGGAGUUCUUGAUGCAUUCUCUCCGCCGUCAGCUGGCUCCUUUAAGCAAUUCCUUCCUUAACGAAAACAAUUCUCGAUCCCCUCAUUACCUUCCUUAACAAAAACAAUUCCCCGUUGCUGGUGACUGUAAUAUAUCUCUUGAUUUUGCACUAUUUAGGGCAGAACAACCGGUUGUUUCUAACCCUCCGUUAAGUUACCUGAAUCUUUUUGAUGCCCAGUUUGAUGCUACUUAUGCUGCAUUGGAAAAGCCGGUGGGGGCUCGUUGGAUAUUGUGAUAUCGGAGAGUGGGUGGCCGGCGGCAGGUGGUGACGGAGCGUUAACGAACGUUGAUAAUGCAAAGACUUAUAAUAAUAACUUGAUACAGCAUGUGAAGCAAGGGUCACCAAAGAAGCCAAGGCCUAUUGAGACUUACAUUUUUGCUAUAUUUGAUGAGAAUGGAUAAAAAGGAAGAUGAGAUUAAGAGGCAUUGGGGACUUUUUGCUCCAGAUAAGCAGCCUAAAUACCAAGUUAAUUUUAAUUAAUUAACCAAAUCAGAGUAGCUUCAUGCGGCAGCAGAUUUGAAGUUAAAUUUCUAAUGCAAUAAAUUAUUGCACAAUAUGUAUUAGUAAUCAAGAGUUUGCAUCAUUACCUUGCAUCGGUGCACGAGGCCAAAUUUCAUUAUCAAUAAUGUCAUGGUUACGGUAUUUAAUUAUAUAUCACUGCCUCUUUCAAUUUUUGAAUAGCUUAAUUAACAUGCAAUGUAAUUUUUCCUUGGCCAUUGUGCAAUGUAAAAAUGCCCCAACAAUACCAAAUUAAUUUGAACUAGUAAGAACCCAACAAUGGAUUAAGCAAAAUUAAAGGGCACUUCCUUUUAAAUAUUUUAUGUAUGAAUCAAAACCAUGCACAGAUUUGAAUCUCAAACAUCCUGUAGCAGUCCAAGUCUCCAAGAGUCGAUAUUAAUUAGCUAGGAAGAAAAAAAGAACAGAGCAAUCCCACUUAGUUUAAUAUAUAAAUAAAUAAAGUUAACUAAAAAAGAUGGCUACAAAUUUUUUCCCUAGGUAUUGAACGCACAAAGACACGUGGCAGUAUCGGGAGCCCUUCAAAAAGUCAAAGUCAACGAAAUAAACGUGUCCAUAUGAGCUCAGUCAAUGAAAAAUUUUUAGAAUACUUCGUAUGUAUUACAUACUAAUUGAUGCAUGCAUGACGUGUAUAGUUGAAUUUAAUACAAUUACCACUUGCAUGAUAGUUUUUUAAAAUAACUACACACAUAUCAUGACAUUAUAUGUUUGUUGUAUGACUGAUAUGGUACCUCAAAUGUAUUCUAAAAUUUCUCCUGUCAAUAUGUAGUCCACGAAAGUUAACAUGGAGCUAUGAUCCGUUUUGAAAAGGCGCCGGAUCCGGGUUUGCCAAUUUCCCAACUCCCAAGCACAAAAAAGCUACCGGGCAAUUACAAAGUGAGCUCGUUUAACCAUUCAAUCCACUAUGGCCAAUGGGCCGUACCGGCACCAACUAUCGGCCCACAAGGGCUCGUGGGCCGGCACGGCACGGCCCACUAAAUUGGUGGGCCGUGCCGUGCCUACAUUUUUUUCAAUUGAGCCCGGCGGCCGUGCCCAAAAAAAGCCCACCAACAUUUUUUUUUUUAGCGUGCUUUAUUCAAGCCCACGUGUCUGACGUGUUUUUUUAAGCCCACCAACAUAAUAAUAAUAAUAAUAAUAAUAAUAAUAUUCACAAUCAUAAUCAUAUUAAUUUUUAUUAAGAGAGCAAUUAACAUUUUAUUAUUAGUUUAUCAAUUUUGGCCCACGUGUUAUUAAUGGUUCACGGGCCGCGUGCUAGCCCACUAAUGAACCGUGCUUAUUACGUGCUUUUUCGUGUGCCGUGCUUUGGCCAAUCUCUAAUCGUGCCGUGAUUUAAGGCCCGCGUGCCUAAAAUUCUAGGCCCGGCACGGCCCACGUGCGUGCCGUGCCUCGUGCCUCACCGAAACGUGCUCGUGCCGUGCAGUACGUGCCCGUGCCGUGCCACGUGCCGCCCGGCCCAUUGGCCACCUUUACAUUCAAUCACCAUGCGGUCUGAAAAGUCAACGAGCUUAAAUCAUAACAACGUACGUUGGACUGCACUGAAUUGAAAUAUCUCUUUAAUCUAUUAAAGGUCACGUCCAAUUUAAACCCGAUCACAGGUCACAUCCCACCCAAAUUGGCUUAGCACUGGUUUGGAAUCGGCCUGAUUUGCCACUUGUUGAAACUUUUAACACCCUUCUAAAGUCCUUAUAACACCCCAUUCCAAAUUUAUUUUUUAAAAAAACCUAGCUUUAAAUGUUUAAAGAAUAAUAAUAUAGCCGCAAACUAUUGUACAAAUUUAUUUUAUACAAAUUGAUGUGGCAUGAUAAAAUUAAUUGAAUUAAAUAUCUUUUGGCUCACAUAAUUUAUUUCUAUUAUUUUAUACUUUUAUUCAAUUAAUGAAUUAAUGCCAUAUCAGUUUGUAUAAGAUAAGUUUGUACAAGAGUUUAUGGUUGUAUCAUCACUCAUGUUUAAAACCCAAAAUUAAAACCAACCAUCAUGCUGUACUAAAAAAAAAAAAAUCAACCAUCAUGAUAUAAAAAUUCACCCUAAUAAAAAUAUUUCUUUUACCCUUUCAUAGUUACAUAGUCUUUAAUGUUUCUCAUAUUAUAUAAUAUAAAGGUAGAGUUAUUUUCACUCUAAAAAUUAGUCUGAAUAUUUUAUUAUUUUGAACACUCAUCUACAUAUUUUUUUUAAAUAAUUUUAUUUUUUACACUAUGUCAAACCUUUUAAACUAAUUAUCAUUUAUUUACUAUAUACACCUAUAAAAAAUACUCAAUUCACUAAAAGAAAAAAAAAAUAAGAAGAAGAAGACAUCUUCAAUUCUUUUUGUAGAAAAUAUUUCAUGUACUUAAUCAAAUCCAUCAAGUUCGAAAAACAAAACUCAUUUUCUUGAACAAGCAAAGAAGAAAUAAUUUAAAUUUCAAACUUAUUAUUUAUCUAACCAUGACACAGCUUCAAUUUUAAAAAUUAGCCGUGAAAUCAAGCUGCAAAUUAAGUGAAGUAGAAGCUCUAUGUGAAAGUGCCUUAAAAAUAUUACUUAAAUAGAAGAAGCAUAAAUGCAUGAGAUGAAACCAAUUAUAGGAAGAAAUCAUUAAAGUUAACGAAUCAUCACCAGAUUUUGCCAACGUAACAGCAGAUUGCUAGAUGUCAUGAAGCUGAAAAUUGAUUGGAGUAAUUAAUAAAAGUUUGUUUGCUAAAUCAAAAUGGUUCGUAAUAGCUUCUUUGCAAAUAUUUGUAAAAGUUUUAGGGUAAAAGGUAGAUUAUUGUUUAUAUAUUCAAAGAUCGAGUUUACUAAUUAUAUGAGCGUUUAAAGUAAUUAUGUUUGAUUUACUUAAAGUAGAUUAAUAAUAAAUCAUAUCAUAAGUAUUUUUAUAUUGAAUUAUUUUAUUAAAAUAAGAGUGUUCAAAAUCAAUUUUAGAGUGUAAAGCAUCCUGCUCAUUGUACAGUUAAGAGCAAUAAUACCUAUAAAAAAAAAAUAGAAAACUAGUUGGUAUUAUAGUUUUUUCUUUUAUUGGGACCUCACAAGUGAGAGUAAAUAAAAUUAAAGAAAAAAUGAUAUUACAAUCAAGGUGGACACCAAAACCUUAUUCAAAAAUAAAAUAUGAAAAAUAGUGACCGCAGAAAAAUAAACUUUAAGUUGGAGUUUUUCCAACGUAGUUAGAAUUUAAUUGUAUUUAUCUUCAUACAUAGUCUUUCGAUAUACUUUACUUAAUCUGGCUGGUUUGGAAGCGAGGAAUCGAUGAUUCAAAUUUUGAAGUGAUGGAAUCUCAAAAGAAUAAUGAUAUUUACACAUGAUACUGCCCAUAAAAUUGCACAGAAUCAUUAAAAAUAACGAAUGACAGAUUCAUUCACUUUAUAAAUUUUAUUUUUAUAUACAGGUAUCCUCAUUUUAUCUGCGAUAUAUAAUUUUGUGAGAGAAUGUCAAGUACAAAUAUCAUUUUCCAUUUCAGAAACAAAAUUUGGGGCAGUGGAGAUCAAAUUAAUCUAGCGUCGUUGGCGCUGACACUAUAUAUAUAGUGCUAGAUAUAAUUUAGGGCAUUGUCCAUCAUUUCAACAACUUAACGCUACAGCCCAUUUAAUUUAUUUAUGUUUAUACCCGACCGGUGUAUGAAUUGUUUUACUAGUGCACCUGAAGCAUCCGCAUAGCAGCAGUGCCAGCCAUUCACAAUUAUUAUAAUGUACUUAACUGCAAUCAUUGGCUAAUCAGUGAGCCAUUGGACCCGCGCAAGCUCCCACGUUAUGUUGCUGUAGUAGUGGCCCAUGUGCCACAAUAUUGUAUGGGUUAUAAUUGAAAUUUAAAUAAUAAAAUAAAUAACGGACUGAAAUUUUAUUGAUCAAUUGAAAAAAUUUAAAUGUCCAUUUCGAUAGAAAGUGAGAAUAAAAUUUUUAUUGAAAUUGAUUCUCUCUCCACUGUAUAUCAAGUUAAUUUUUUAUUUAUUAGAAAAGUGAGUCAUUUUAAAAGAAUUAAGAGAAAGAAAUCAAUGUUGUUAAAUAUUUAAUUAUUAUGGUGAAACUUGAUAAAAAUUUUGUUAUGGAUCAAAGUAUGUUUUCUUUCAAUUAUAAUGAUGUGAAAAUCAUAAUUUAAGAAUUAAAGUUUAUGUAAAUUAAGAUUUUCUUGCUCAUGAAAAUUAUAAAAAAGAAGAAAAGAAAAAGAACAAGACAUCCUUUUUGUAGAAAAUAUUUUAUGUACUUAAUCAAAUCCAUCAAGUUCGAAAAAAGAAACUCAUUUUCUUGAACAAACAAAGAAGAAAAUUUCAAACUUAUUAUUUAUCUAGCCCUGACACAGCUUCAAUUUUAGAAACUAGUCGUGAAAUCAAGCUGCAAGUUAAGUGAAGUAGAAGCUCUAUGUGAAAGUGCCAUAAAAAUAUUACUUAAAUAGAAGAAGCAUAGGAAGAAAUCAUUAAAGUUAACGAUUCAGCACCCGAUUUGGCCAACGUAAUAGCAGAUUGCUAGAUGUCAUUAAGCUGAAAAUUGAUUGGAGUAAUUAAUAAAAGUUUAUUUACUGAAUCAAAAGGGUACGUAAUAUCUUGUUUGCAAAUAUUUGUAAAAGUUUUAGGGUUUAAGAUAGAAGAUUGUUUAUAUAUUCAAAGAUCGAAUUUACUAAUUAUAUGAGCGUUUAAAAUAAUUAUGUUUUAUUUACUUAAAGUAGACUAGUAAUAAAUCAUAUCAUGAGUAUUUUUGUAUUAAAUAAUUUUAUUAAAAAAUAAUUUUUUAAAAGAAAUUAACCAUGGCAAAUUACGGAAAACUUUAUUUAUAUAAAAAGCAAAAAAAAAGCCAAUACAAAUCAGGUGGACGAAAUAAACCUUACCUCCAAAAGAAUGCCCGGUGGUAAAAUAAAAAAGAUUCAAGGCUCUGUGAAAGAGGCAACCAAAAAAGAUAAAUGAGAACCGAAAGCAAACAAGAAAAAAGCCUAUAAAAUCUAUAGUUGGGGGAAACCAUUAGCAUAUUUAUUAAUAAAGCUUCCAAUCUCCGAUAGCGGUGAGCUCCACGAGCUAAAUUACGACAAACCGACAACUAAAUUAGCCAAAGUGAUUGCUACAUUAUUGUUCUAUCUGUAGAUGAAGGAAAAAUAAAAAUUCAUACCCUACUGUCAUGCAAAAAGCUUACGACAAUUGUAUCAUCGUUUGCAAUGAGUCCAACGUUUUAAUAGUUUCUUUUUCUAAAUAACAUUAUUUCAAUAAUUUAAUGCUACAUCAAAAUUAAUUUAUGUUCAUACUCGACUACUGUAUGAAUUAUUUUAUAUUUAAUUUUUAUAAAAUUGAUGCAACGUAGCAAACGAUAAUACUAUACUUAGUUUGAAUACCAACUGAUGCAGUAUUUCUUAAUUGGCUCAAACGAUGGUCAUAAAGUCUAUCCCACGUAAUAAAGUACGAAGCGAGGGAAACUUUAUUUGCAUAAAAAAACAAAGCCAACACAAGUCAAGGGACGUAAUAAAGUAACUUACUCAUCUACAUUCGAAAAGAAUCAACAAAAAGAUAGAUGAAAGCCAAUAGUAAAAAUGAAUAAAAUCAGUGAGAUAUUUAGAAAUAAGAUUUUGAAUCUCCAUCGGUGGUGAGUUCUACCAGCUAAAUGAUGACAACCAACACCGAAAUCAGCCAAAACGUCUGCCAGAUAGACAAUAUAGAAAUGCGAAUGCUCAAGUUAAAGACCAAUUUAUACAAGAAGGCUCUGAGGAUUUUUUUCCCCCAUAUUUUGCAAAACUAUGAUGGCCAUGAUAUUUACCAUAUUUUCAUGAAAUAAUGGCAAAGAUCUUGGCUCAUAAUUGACUUAAUUGAAAAGCUUCAAAAUCAUAUCUCAAGGAUCCUUAUGUGAUCCUCCUAGUUUUUUCAAAUGCACCUGAAGCAUCGGCAUGGCAGUAGUGGCCACCCAUUCACAAUUAUUAUCAUGUACAUAACUACAAUUAUUGCUUAAUCAGUCAGCCAUCGGUCCCAUGCAAGCUCUCACGUUAUUUACGUAAUUGAACUAUAGACCUUAAUCCGUCUUCUACCACUCAACAAUCAAGCAUCAGCCGUCGAUCCCUCAUCCACUAACCCCGUUGCCACCGAUGGCUACUUGAAUUUAUAUGUAUUUUCAAAUUAUAAACAAUGGCCAAUCAUAUAUUAUAUAGCUUCAUGUCGGCUACCCGUGUAUAUAUUGUGUUAUACCACACCGGAAGCAACCACAAUCAAAAGACUAGCAAACGCUCCUUAAUUACUUGUGCAGAAGCUAGCAGAGAUAUUUUCUGAUUUGAAGAACAUGGAGACUGUUUAUGCAGGUAAUUCAUCAGGCCAUAUUAAGUUGAAUUCCAUUUAUAAUUCUUACAUUAAUAUAUGCCGUUACGAACAGGUUUUCUGAUUUGAAAUUUUCAGCCAAUAAGGAAUGGUUGGAGGCUAGCAUCGCUCCAUUUCAUGGCUGUAUGAUUGAUGAUGGGAUUGGAAAUAACAAUCUUGAUCUCCUUGUAGCCCCUCAAUAUGGAAGAAACCCUGAUGAAUCUGGUUAAGUGCAGUGUUAAAGUAAAAGGAUGUCAUGGGCACCAUAGCCAGUAAAUUGUGUGAGUGCAUUUCGGUUUGCUUCAUUCCGAAUAAUAAGAUCUCUUAGAAUAUAUAAGAGAUUUUCUUGUUCACAUCUAUGAACUUUGUUUUCUUUGAACUAAAUAAAUAAAACUGCUGUGUGUCAGUUUGUUAUUCAAAUUAAUCAGGAUUAUGCUCUCUCUUCUUAAAUACCUUUUGCUACAAACUGCAUUUACUAAUUUAAAUAGUGUUAGUGAUUCCUCCAAUGAUGCAGUUUCUUCACUCUCAAUCAAUAAAAAAAAUGAGAUUGGUACUAACCUUGCUUCCAGUUUCAACUGGCGGUGAGCUCCAUCAGCUAAAUUGUGACAAUUGAUACUAAAAUCAGCCAAAGUGACUACUACAUUACUGUUCUCUCGGUAUGUGAGGGAAAAAAAAUUAAAAACUCAUUAAAAAGUUAUACCCUACUAUCGUGCAAAACAAUUAUGACAAUUGUAUCACUGACUGCAAGGAGUCCAUCAUUUCAAUAAUUUCUUUUUCUGAAAAAUGCCAUUUCUAUAAUUUAAUGCUACAGCCAAAUAAUUUAUGUUUAUCCUUGAUUGGUACAUGAAUUAUUUUAUUGGUGGGAUUAUUUGUAUUUGAAAAAUUAUUUGAAAAAUUCAAUUUUUUUUAAAAAGUUAAAUUCUUUGAAUUGCUUAAGAUUGAUUACAGCGAGACUACAAGUGAUAGAGAACAAAUCUCUUUUUACCAAGAAUCCUAACUCUCAGUAGUAGCCACUAAACUCAAUCGAAAAGAAUGCUCCGUGAUCAGCCUCUCCUUUGUGUUUUAUACAACUCCUGGUCAUAACAAAUUUACCACAUACUGGCACACAAUAAGCUGACUCACCAUGCCACAUCAUCAGUAACUAAAUAGAAUGUAACUAACUUUCAGCUUCACAAAUUUCCACCUUAGUUCAUUCUGAAACAGCUUCACCUACCUCUUCAGCAACUACUAACUCGGUUUACAAGCUAUCAACACCAAUCAAGUUCAGAGAGUUUGUAAACUUGACUGCAUGGACUGCUUUAGUUAAAAUAUAUGCUGGAUUAGUCUGAGUAGGAACCUUGACAACAUUAACUACAUCAUUUGUAAUUUCAUCCCUGACAAAAUGCAACCUAACAUCAAUGUGUUUUGUCCUUUCAUGAUAUUUAGGAUUCUUACUGAGCUGAAUUGCACUGGAGCUGUCACAACCAAUGCAAACCGAAUCCUGCUUCAACCCAAACUCAGAAACUAAUCCACUUAGCCACUUUGCCUCUUUUACUGCUUCUGUAAAUGCAAUGUACUCAGCCUCAGUUGUGGAUAAAGUAACCACCGACUGAAGAGAGAUGUUUUCCAACUCACUGCCCCUCCAUUUAAAAUGAAAACAUAUCAUGUAAUGGACAUUCUCUUGUCCAGAUACCUUAACAACCACUUAACAACAUUCUAAUGUUCCCUUCCUGAAUUCCCCAUAAACCUACUAACAACCAUCAUGAUCUACAUCAGGUCUUGUACAAACCAUAGAAUACAUAAUGCUACCAACUGCACUUGAAUAGGGCACUGUCUUCAUAUACUCAAGGUCUUGAUCCUCUUCUGGUUCCUGAAGCUUUGACAAUCUGAAGUGUGCUGACAGAGGUACUGACACAGGCUUUGCACCACUCAUCUCAAAUCUGCUAAGGACCCUUUUAACAUACACAGCUUGAGUAAGAAACAAGGUUCUUGAAUUUCUGUCCUUCACAAUUUGCAUUCCCAGAAUUCUUGUAGCAGUCCCCAAAUCUUUCAUUUCAAAUGCAGAAUUCAACUCCAUUUUUAGCCUUUCAAUCUCCUCUCUCCUUUUGCAUGUAAUAAGCAUGUCAUCAACAUAAAGAAGGAGGUAAAUACCAUCUCCAGAAGAUAAAGUUUUAAAAUACAGACGGCUAUCAUAUUGGCUUCUGCAAUAUCCAUGGCUGAUCAUGAACUCAUCGAACCUCAAAUACCACUGCCUUGGAGACUAUUUCAGCCCAUACAAGCUCCUCUUCAACAAGCAUACCAUAUCUUGAGUCCCUUCUUCAAUGAACCCCUCAGGCUGAUCCAUAAGAAUUUCUUCUUCAAGACUCCCAUGUAAGAAGGCAGUCUUUACAUCCAUUUGAUCCAAUUCCAGGUCUUUGAAUGCUGUUAUUGCUAGUAGAACUCUUAUGGAACUAUAUUUGACAACAGGGGAGAAUACCUCAUUAAAGUUCACUCCAUGCUUUUGUGUGAACCCCUUUACUACAAGUCUUGCCUUAUACCUAGAGGCUCACCAUCAGCAGUCCCUUCUUUAAUUUUAUAGAUCCAUUUGCAUCUUGAGGUUUUAUCUUGAGGCUUAUCAUCAACCUCAAGAUAAAAGGCUCACUAUCAGCCUUUUAUCUUGAGAUUUCUUGACCAAAAUCCAUGUGUUAUUCUUCUUUAGUGAGAUGAUUUCUUCAUUCAUGGCAUCCAGCCAUUUUGCUCUAUUUUACUGCUCGUAGCUUGUUUGUAGUUUAUAGGCUCUUCACCAAUAACUUCCUCAAUUACUGCCACAACAUAAGAGAGCAUAUCAACUAUGCCAUACCUUUUGGGUAACUUAAUGACUCUCCUUUCCUUGUCUCUUGUAAGCUGAUAAUCAUGUGUUUGAGAAGUGAUGUGUGUUUUCUGAUAAGACUUGGAAUCCCUUUCUGCAGCUUUUUUAUCUUCACUUGACUCCACCUCAAAGUUGUAUUCCUUAUCCUCAUUUGAAUCAUGUGUAAUGAGCUCUGUUUCUACCCUCUGAUGCUGCAUAGACUCUUCAUCAAACACAACAUCUCAGCUAAUAAGAGUUCUUGUAGGUUUGCCAUCUAUGCACCAGAGCUUAUAUCCUUUGACACCCUCUGGAUAUCCUAUGAAGUAACCCUUAACAGCUUUUGGCUCUAACUUUCCCUGGUUUAUGUGAGCAUAAAUAAGGCAGCCAAAAACCCUGAGGUUGCUGAGAUCGGGAGGCUUUCCUGACCAAACUCCCUGAGGAGUCUUGAAAUGCAAGGCUGCUGAAGGGCUCUUAUUGACCAAGUAAGUUGCAGUGGUAACAACUUCUGCCCAGAAGUGUUUUGAAAGGUUUGCAUUAAACAACAUGCACCUUACCUUUUCAACUAAUGUCCUAUUCAUCCUUUCGGCUAACCCAUUUUGCUGAGGUGUGUGUGUUGGGAAAAUAUGCUCUUUAAAAGCAUAUGUGUUUAUUUAAUUGUAAUAAACAAUUUUUCUGAUUAAUAAAAUAAAUGAGAUAUUUUAUUCAAAUAUCUUAAUUGCAUUAAUAUUUGUAUUAAAUUCCAUUUAAUCAUAUUAUAUGUAUUUAUGUGAUCACCAUGUGGAUUCAUAGAAGACAUAAAUACAAGUUAUCUUAUGAUUAAAUAAAUUUAGUUCGCAGUUGAUAAAUAAAGUUGGGCACUUUAUUUAGGUAUAGACUGUAAUAAAUUCAUUAAAUGAUUUGUAUUAAUCAUGUAUGAAUUUAUUGAUGCAGUACGACUACAUUGAACAAUAUCACAUAUGAGAUUUAAUUAACUUUGUAAUAACUGUCAGACUUAUUAAAUCUCAUAGGCGUUGAUUUUACUGUAAUCUUAAUCUUGAGUUAAUUAUGAUUUCAUGAUUGUAAUUGUUAUUCCAUUUGAGUUACCAAUGGGCACGACACAUACUACAGCAGAUUGUGGUUAGGAGUUUUAAAAGUAAUUUUUAAAAACUAAAAUCUGGUUUUAGUAUUUUGUAAUUUUUUUUCCUAAGUCACUUUGACAAAAUCAUAUCAUUUUAUAGUAAUUUUAAAAACUAAACUCCAAUUUUGGUGCAGUUUUUGCACUUUUACUUAUAUAUCCUCAUAUUUCUUAUACAAACCUGAAAUUACCUCAUUUUCAUGUGGUUUCAAGGUAGAUAAGGAUAAACUUGAAAGCUGUUGUCCUCUCUUUUCCUUUUCAUUAAGACAAAAAAUCAAACUUGUAACUCAAAAAAUCAAAUAUAUCUCUCCCUUUUUUUUAAAUAUUUUUUUAUCUAAGAGGAUCAUUGAUUUAAUUUCACCUCAUUCUCCCCAAUGAAAUUUGAAGAAGGACCUCGACUCUUAUCACUUGAGCUAAGCCUUCAUCUAAAAAAGGGUUUAAAAUUUUAAUUAAUUUAUUUCAGACGAUAGAAUUUAAUUAAUAUGUUUCAGAUGAUAUUAAAAUUUAAUUAAAAUUCUAUUAUUAUUCUUUUGGGUUCUUUUUUGAAUGUUAACAUAAGGUCCACUCUUAGAAAUUCUGAAUCCCUAAAGCCUUCAUAGCAUCUUCAGGCCUAACCCGCAGUGUUUAAAAUGUAAAAUGCCAUAUGGCCAACAAUUGGGCCGAGCUAAAUCCCACUGGAAUGGCAAAAGGCCAAUGAAAUGGCAAAGUGCUACAUUUUAGCUGCUGUACGGCCAAGGCGGAUGUACGGUACAGCAGAAAAUUUAAAAACCUAAUUUUUCUCAUUUUGCCUUGCAGUUUUGUGCCUGACUAUCCCCUUCUUGAUGCAGAGUUGAUCAAAAUCAUUGCAGCAAUACUUGAGCCCAUUAUCUGUUCUUAGCCUCUCCACCCUCCUCUUUGUUUGAUUUUCCAUUAAAGUCAGUCAUUUUUUAAACUUUUCAAAAGCCUCACUCUUCUGCUUCAGUAAUAUACCCAGACUUUCCUUAAAAAGUCAUCAAUAAAAGUAAUGAAGUAUUUGGCUUCUCCAUGAGAAAGAACCUGAGAGGGCCCCUACAGGUCUGAAUGGAUAUAAUCCAUUGUAUUUUUAGUUUCUUGUUUUCCUAGAUUAAACUUUUGUCUAGUUGCUUUACCAAACACACACUUUUCACAGAAUUCAAGUGCUGAAAUUUGGUCAGUUCCUAGUAAUCCUUGUUUACUCAACUCUUUUAAUCAUUUCUCACUCAUGUGUGCUAGUCUCAUGUGCCAAAGCCUGGUUUUAUCAUUACUUACAUUGGUAAUAACAUCAGGUAACACAACUGAGCCAUUAAGCAUAUACAAUCCAUUUCUCCUACUAUAUUUCAUUAUGACUGUACCACCUUUAAGGAUCUGAAGUUACCAUUUUCUGCCCUUAUACAGCAGCCCAAUUGGUCUAUCAUUCCUAAAGAUAUGAGGUUUCUUUUAAGCUCUGGAACAUAUCUUACUUGUUCCAAGCUUCUGAUUGUACCAUCAUACAUUUUAAUAAUAACAGACCCUAUUCCAGCAACUUUAUAGGCUAGAUUAUUCCCAAGCAAAACUUUACCACCAUCAAACAUUUUCAAAAGUCACAAAGAAAUCUUUAUGUGGGCACAUAUGGAAAGAACACCCUGAGUCAAGUAUCCACUCACCAGAAGAUUUCUUAUCUGUUGCAAUAAGAACAUCCGCAUCUUCUGAUUCUCCUUCAUCUACAGAUACAACAUCAGCUUUCCCACUUGAUUCUUUCUGUAACUUUUCAAGCUUCUUUUUUUCAAAACAAUCUUUUAUAUAAUGCCCUUCCUUUUGACAUAAGUAGCAUUUCCUUUUCUUCUUCUUCUUGUCAGUCUUUUCUUUCUGAUUUUUGUUCUUCUUGUCUUUGUUCACCUUUUUCUCUGUCUUUGCUUUGGCAACUAAUCCAUCCCUAGCACUAUGAUCCUUGCCAUCUGCUCUCAUUUUCAAGUCUUUUGAUUCAAGAGCAUUCUUGACAUCUUUCAAGGUGAGAGUUUGUCUUCCACAGAGCAAAGUGUCCACGAAAUGUUCAUAGGUGUCUGGUAAUGAGCUUAACAGGAUAAGAGCCAUAUCUUCAUCAUCAAGUAUGAUGAUGACAUUUUCAAAAUCGAGUAUCAGUUUAUUUAACUCAUCAAGAUGAUCCUUCAUGAUUGUCCCCUCCUUUAUUGAAAAUGUGUAGAGCUUCCUUUUUAUGUAUAAUCUUUUAGCCAUAGAUUUCUUUAAGAAAAUUUCUUCCAACUUCGCCCACAACCCAGAGGCAGUCUUCUCUUUGGCUACUUCUCUCAACACCUCAUCAAAUAGGUGGAGUAUAAUUGUGCUGUGAGCUUUGUUGUUUAUGGUCCUCAAGUCUCCAUCUGAACCUGACGAACCUUCCCCCUUUUCUUUCUUGGACUUUGAUUCUUCAUCAUCAUUGAGGGCACUAUCUAAGCCCUGUUGAAUCAAGAUGGCUCUCAUUUUCAGACUCCAUAAGUAGAAAUCGUUUUCACCAUUAAACUUUUCAAGAUCAAACCUAGUGGCUGCCAUUCUUGAAGAUCAAGAACAGAGAGCUUAUCAGCUCUAAUACUAGUUUGUUAAGAAAAAGAUGAACAGAGAUAAACCAAGAUUUGGCCAAACAAAAACAAGAACAGAGAUAAACCAAACUCCAAAAAGAAAAGCUUUAUUGCUUAAGAUUGAUUACAACGAGACUACAAGUGACAAAGAACAAAUCUCUUUUAACCAAGAAUCCUAACUCUCAGUAUUAGCCACUAAACUCAAUCGAAAAGAAUGCCCCGUGAUCAGCCUCUCCUCAGUGUUUUAUACAACUCCUAGUCAUAAUGAAUUUACCACAUGCUGCCCACAAUAAGUUGAUUCACCGUGCCACCUCAUCAGUAACUAAACAGAAUGUAACUAACUUUCGGCUUCACAAGAACAAAAAAAAAAUUUGUCUAAUUAACUUUUGGUUCAUGAUAAUAGAGUAUUGAUGAAAAAUUUGUUGAAGUGAGUAUCCUCUAAUAGCCACGCUGAUUAAUUAAGAUGCAGGAAAAAUUACUCAUCGUCUAUUAUUGAAUAAAUUUUAAUUCUUAUUUCAUAAUUUAUUUUUUAAUUUUGACCAAUUGUUAGUUGGUUGUCGAGAAAGAAUAUAAAUGUAAAGUGAAAAGAGAUUUAAUUUAGGAUAAUUUUGUUAUUUCUAAGAAAGUAUGUUGAGUAAAAACUUAUUUUUAGAAUUUUCAAUAGGUCUCUUCAGUGAAACAGUAUUCUAAGUGUGAAAACUAUAGGCAAACGAUAUCGAAAAUGUAAAUCCACUCUCGUAUUAUUCAAGUGGCGAGCUCAAAGACCAAGUUAUACAAGAAAGUUGAUAACGUAAAAGGAACGUAUCAAUCACCAUGAUUUGAGGUUUUUUCCUCAUAUUUGCAAUAUCAUGUCAAUGGCCGUGAUAUUUACCAUAUUUACAUGAAAUAAUGGCAAAGGUGGCUCAUAAUUGAUUUAAUUGAGAAGCUUUAAGAUCAUAUCUCAAGAAUCCUAAUGUGAUCCUCCUUAUUUUAUUAAUGCACCUGAAGCAUCUGCAUGGCAAUAGUGGGCACCCAUUCACAAUUAUUAUUCGGAACUUCACUGCAUUAUUGGUUAAUCAGUGAUCCAUUGGACCUCUGCGUAAUUGAACGAUAGCUGUUAAUCCGUCUUUUACCAAUCUACAAUUACAUAUCGGUGGGCGGAACCAACAUUUUAGUUCGUAAUUGCCGUGAUAUUUUACAAGUUACGAGUUUUCUUGAAAAUUUAAUUUAAGGCCACCGAAAUGUAUCACAAAUGACUAGUUUCCUUAAUUUUUUUUUCCUUAUAUUUCAUAAAUUUUCAAAAAGUUCGCAACCAUCAACUUGUACAUCGUUCCGACUAUGAUCAUCAACUUACCCGUUGUCCCCCAGAGCUACUUGAAUUUAUAUGUAUUUUUAUAUCAUAAAUUAUUUCCAGUGACAUGUUAUGUGUUUCAUGUCGGCUUCUACUGUCUAUAUAUUAUGUUGUAUAUCACAGGUAUUUCAUUGGGACAAGUUAAGUUUUGAAUUCCUUUUAUAAUUCAUAUAUAAAUACAUGCAUUUAUGAAUAAGGAUUUGAAAUUUUUAAUGCUCGGAGAUUAGCAUUACUCCUUUAUUUCAUGGUUGUAUAAUUGAUGAUGGGGAGGCAAAUGAGAAUCUUGAGAGAAAUCGUGACGAGUCUGGUUAAGUGGAGUGCUAUUCUUUUGUGUUAUAUUUUAUUAUAUAAAAGGAUACAAUGAGUCGUAUUCCAUGUCAAUUGUGUGAGUGCAUGUCGGUUUACUUCAAUUAUAUAUAUAAGAUAUUUUCUUGUUCACAUCUAUGUAUGUUAUUUUCCUUAAACUAAAUAAUUAAUACCCAGAUGGGUAAAUGAUCCAAUUACCACCCUUCUUUUUUUUUUUGAGGAGUUCAAAAAUACUAUGAUGGCUCCGUUGCUUUAUAUAUUUAUUUCUUUUGUGAUUUAGCAAUCCCAAAGUUUCUUUUUUUUUUUCAAAUCAAAAUAAAAAAAUAAAAAAAUAAAAAAUAAUCUUUUUUUUUUUUUCGUACUCUUUCAUACCAUAAAUCUUGUUAAUUGUUAAGAACCUUCUGGCGUGAAAAAGGUGUGUGGCGCUGCAAUAGGCCUCCGAUAGGUAAGAUAAACUCGGAAUAUCCCUUCUUUAUCUCAUACUACUGCUUCGAUACAUAAUCAAAUAUUUUGAAAAAAAAAACACUGACAAUUUUCAUAUCGAAUUCAAAGUGCCAUGCUAUUAUUACAUAAUAUUAAGAAUUCAUAUGGCGAAGGCAUAGUCUUCUUUUUUCUCUCUCAAAUUAUUGUGAGUCACUAAAUAUCAGUUUGUUGUUUAAGUUACUCAUGAUUAUGCUCAAUCUUCUUGAAUACUUUUUUGAAACAAACCUCAUAUGUUGGUUUGUUAAUUAAAUACUAUUAGUUAAUCCUCUUCAGUUAUUUGUGGUUUCUUCACACUCAAUCUUUAAGGAUAAAAAAAGAGAGAUUAAGGCUCCUCUUGAGAUUAAGGUUGAAAUGCUAUAAGCGAUUUAUUUCAUAAGUUUUUGAAAAAAAAUAGUAUUUGGUAAAUUUUUUAAAAACUAUUUAUUUCAUAAGUUUUUGUAAUUUGACUUAAACUUUUAAAAAUAGAUAAAAGGUUUUUUUUUUAUAAACAACUUAUUAAAUAAACCAUCACACCUUUUUAAAAUUCCUAUUAUAACCUUAAUAAUUUAAUUAAAAGAAACAAUAAUGCUAUGAUUACUCAGUUUUGAUACUUAGGACUUGUGUGUCUAAAGUUUUAGUUUGACUUAAGUUAAGAUGUUUUGGUAUUUUUGCUUGUUUGUUUUUAUAUAUGAAGUUUGUUUAAAAAAAUUUUCAUUUGAAUGAAAUAGGGCAACCGAAAGCAUGUGGCGCACAUCCUCCAUUUUUGGUAACUUUAGAUCGCAAUCUGUUAGUUAUUUCGCACAAAAUUCAGUCUGUCAUUGCUCCAGGAUUGUUACAGCAACGGCUACAGCAUCUUCACAAUUUCAAACUUGUUUUACUUCUUCUGCAGCCAAGUUAUUCUGCCAUCUUUGCAGGUGUGUUGUAGCCGCUUUCCAUCCCCGAAAAUUGAGCUUUGUAGUUACAUACAAUCAUGCACAUAAUCUAAGCACAAGAUGAUCGAAAACAAAUUCAAUUUAUUGAAAAUAAAAUAAAAUGGAUGCUAAUGCAAAAUCUAAGUAAAAUGCGAUAAAAACACAUCAUUUACUCUCUAAGUAUUAUUGAUUUAAGUCUAAAACUACCAUAAUAACUCUCAUUCUAUAGAGCUCUCACAUGACUCUCACUCAAAGUCUGCUCUGUAUUAGAGACCUCACUAGAAUCAAUGUUGUUCAACUCAUUUUCUCUAGAUGAGGUUGAAGCCUAGGAGACAUCCUCCUAAUGUUGUCUCUAACACUGAUAUCACCUAUAGCUUCUAGGGGAAUUUUCGGGACGAAAACAGGUUUCCUAAAUAAACUAGGAAAAAACUAUAGUUCAUCAUCAUCAAUCUCAUUCACUUUCUCUCUACUGUUUGACAUUUUUCAAAUAAGCCUAAAGCUAGUACCAAAAGACUGGCAAAGCCAAGGAAAAAUCAUAAAAUUCCCAGUGAUGAAGUGCCAAAAAAAAAAAAAAACAAUACCUGAGACGAGGAAAGAUUAGAACUAAGGCAACAUUUACGGCUUGUUCCCCGGUUAGAUAAACGGCUUGGUAAUUGGAAAAAGCGAAAGAGAAAUAUGAGAAAGAUGAAGUGAUUUGGGAAAUUAGGAAUUUUGAGAAAAUGGAAGGUUUUAAUCAAUGUGUCAUUUAAGAACGUGUGCCUCGAGGGUGCUAUAACUGCUCGUUCGAAAUUUAAAUGCCUACCCCAACGUGUGCCACAUCGCAUGUAUUUAAAUCAAUGCGACCACUUGAGUGAAUAUAUGCCCACCAGUCAGGAAAGUGAAAAAUACUUUUAUCAGCCUCCUAUUAUAAGAGUCGAGCAGCUAGACUGGUCAAUGAAGUUUAUUAAGUUUUUAGUUUUGAUUCGUUUCACUCUCAGCACUAGAAACUGGAGGACUGGUAUUUGGCUGAUAAAGAGGCAAUUGUUGAAUAUUCACUCAAGCAUAAUGUGCUCUCCACGGUAACAAUUCCUUGAGAAGGGGAACAACUAGUCGAGUAUAUGUGGUUAGCUAAGGUACUUUCGAGGAGAGGACGAGUCAAGUCAAUUCAAAGACCUAAUCAAAGGGGCGACCAACAUGUACCCACGAAGAAUCCAGGUACGAAGCCCAUUUACUAGCAAUUACACUGCCCACUCAUCAACGGUUACACACUUUCUAUUUAGCCAUGAUUGCACUUCUGAGCCAACAAUGAUCGUGGGGGAGAGGAAGCCGAUAACACUAGUUUGGUAUAUAAGAUACAGAUGACUAAGGUAAAAGGAUUAUACAUUAUGUUACUUGAUUCUCUAGAACUUACUCUCCCUCUAUUUUUCAAUUUCUCUCAAUUAUCUUACUUUCUUCCUCAAAAUUAAUUCUUUUUAUUUAAAACAGUUGUAAUUAGGUCACGUGAUUGGUGGCACAAGUUUUUCUAAGUAAACCUAGAUCAUUGAUUUCAGCGUCGGAGAGUUUAUGUUGGAAAAACCUCCGGCGUUCCCUAACUGGUUGUUGUGAACAAAGGUGUCUUAGGGGGAAGAGUUCGAGGUUGCAAGAGCCCGUUCGAUAAGAAAGAAAGAAGAACAGGACCGUCUCCCCAACAACUACAAAUUUAAGUGUUGGCAUGAUUGUCUGGUCGCUACGCAACCUGACCAAAAUUCAACAUCAACAAUAUCAGUUUACCUAAUGCUUCAUUCUUCAUUUGUUUGCCAAAUAAUAUGGAAGUAGCUAUGUGGUUUUUUGCUAAAAUCUUCCAGCUCCAUUCCUUUCAUUUUAUUAUAUUUUUGUUGUUGCUCUAAUUUUUUUCCUUACUACUUAAAAUUAAAUAUCCUUAAUUGCAUGCUUGUCUCAGCAUAAUGUCACCAUUGCCAUACUGAUAGUCUAGUCACUGGCUUACUGAUUCAAGGAAAAACAUACUGCUUUUUUAAGUGCUGUUUCGAGGUUAUGAUAUAUAAUUCUUGACAAGCCCUUUGGAAGUUGUGGUACCAUGGUUGAAGAAGUAUAUGAAUCGAGAAAGAAAUUAAUAUUAACAUAAGCCUUGCCGGUAGGACUAAGAAGGAAAGAAAGUGAUAAGAUUCCUUCGUUAAUGCCAAAAGAUCAGCCAACAGAUUAUCACUCGUUAAUGCCAACAGAUCAGCCAACAAAUUAUAAAUCAUAUCUUCAAUCAAUAAAAUCAUCUCAUCAAAGUUACUUAUAUUAAGGACUCCUUGGCAAGCUCUCAAACGGUCAUAAUAUCCCAUAAUUUAAUCAUUUUAAUAUAAGGUUCCUAAACUGACGUAAUUAUGUCCUUUCCUAGUUGAAACCUUCUCUUUGUAUAUAAAUUAGAAUUGUAAUCAUCACUAAGGUGUGUGCAAUAACAUAUUUCUUUUGCAAUUAUCUUGCAUAUUAUUUCUUUAUGGUAUCAGAGCUAGCUAUGGCUAACACCUUUUAAAUUGAACCCAAACUCACCAUCCAAUCCUUCCACCAAUGCUCUAGCCUAAUAUCUAUCAAGCUUUCGAUGAAUAAUUUUCUUCUCUGGAGGUCACAAGUGCUUCCUCUUAUAAGAAGCCUUGGCCUAGAACAUCAUACUCAUGAUGAGGCAACUCCACCAAAGAUGAUAAAUAUAGCUGGAAAAGAGAGUUAGUAAUCCUGAAUUUUUGUCUUGGAAAAAUAAUGAUGGAUUACUUAUGACAUGGUUGAGAGGGAUGAUAUGUGAAGAUGUUCUAAGUUUAAUUAUUGGAGGAGAAACUUCUCUUGAAGUUUGGUUAUCUAUUGAAGAGCAAAUUUUGCCAGCUACCAAAGAGCAAGAAUCAUGGCUUAAAGAUAACCUGUACUCAAUCAAGAAGGGCAACAUACCCAUUGAUGAAUUUCUAAGGAAAUUCAAGAACCUUUGUGAUAACCUUGCUGCCAUAGGAAAACCAAUCCCAGACGAUGACAAGGUCUUCCAGAUUGCUAGAGCUCUUGGUCCAAAAUAUGCCGAUUUCAAAACGGCAAUGCUUGCUAAACCACUACUGCCCACCUUUAAGCAAUUCAUCCUUGCUCUUCAUAAUCACGAGCAAACUGUUGUUGUUCACAAGGAGGAAGAAAAAUCCAUUAUGGAUCAUAAUCAAGCCUUUUUUAGACAAAGAGGGAGAGGCUGAAAUCAAAGGGGAGGCAGACAUGGAGGUCGCAGCAGAGGUUCACAACAAAAUAAUGGAUCGAAAAAUGCUCAAAGCAACCAGCAGCAUCAACCACGACAAAAAAUAAUAUUGAAACCAACAAAACAAAUCAGCAAAAUGUGAUUUAUUGUCAAAUCUGUGGUAAGAAAGGUCACUCAGCCGCUGUUUGUUGGGACAUGUAUAAAUAUUAUAAGGAUGAGGUUCCACAAGCCCUUGGGACUGUCAACUUGAACCAAACUGACGAUCAAAUUUACGCUGACUCAUGGGCAACCUUUCACAUAAUCAACAAUCCAGGUAAAUUAAAGACAAUCGUUCCUUACAAAGGCCAUAAUAAAAUCUUUGUAGAGAAUGGACAAGGUCUUCAAAUAUCUCAUAUUGGUAAUACCUCUUUAAAAAUUGAUUAUGGAGAUUUACAUUUGAAAAACGUUCUUGUGGUUCCAAAAAUUAAAAAAAAAAUCUCCUGUCAGUUGGACAACUUGCUAAUGAUUCUCAAUGUUCUUUUGUGUUUAAUUAUGAUGGUUUUUUUUGUCAAGAACAAACAAAACCAAGUGGUAGCAAUGAGGCAUAAGAAAGGCAACCUAUAUGCACUGGAUGAAGUAAAUAAAGUAGCUCUAAGCGCAAUAAGAGGGAAUACUGCAGAAUCAAAUUUGUGGCAUAUGAGACUUGGGCAUCCAAGUAUUAAAGUCCUACAAAUUCUCUAUAAUAAUAGGAAAACCAAUAUUUCCAAAUGGAUAAAAAUACCCAAAAUUUGUGUAUCUUGUCAAUUAGGAAAGAGUUUUAAAAUUCCUUUUUCUACUUCUAAUAAAAUCUCGGUUGUUCCUUUGCAUAAGAUACACUGUGAUUUAUGGGGUCCAACUCCAAUUAACUCUAAUCAAAAUUUUUGAUUUUAUGCAUUAUUUAUAGAUGACCAUACAAGAUUUUCCUGGCUAUUUCCACUACAACGAAAAGCUAACUUCUUUGAUUGUUUCAUACGAUUUCAGAAACAGGUGGAAACACAAUUUGAAAGAAAGAUUAAAGUGUUUUAAUGUGAUGAAGGGGGAGAAUUUUCUUCUAAUGCUUUUAUAAAGCAUCUUGAUGAUUGUGGCAUCAUAUGACAAAUAUCAUGCCCAUAUACUCUAGAGCAGAAUGGAGUUGCUGAGAGAAAACAUAGGCAUAUUGCCGAAACAGCCUUAACUCUCAUGUUUUGUGCCUCACUUCCUCUCAAACUUUGGGCAGAUAUUUUUGUAGCCGCAACUUAUUUGAUAAAUAGGAUGCCGUUGUCUACACUUGAAAUGAAAUGUCCAUAUGAAAAACUCUUUAAAAAGACUCCUGAUUAUGUUGGAAUUAAAGUUAUUGGGUGCAAAUGUUUUCCUUAUUUAAGGAACUAUAACAAGACAAAAUUUGAUGGAAAAACUUUCCCAUGUAUUUUUAUAGGUUAUAGUUCCUUACAUAAAGGAUAUAGAUGCUUAAAUCCUAUGACUAAAAGAGUCUAUAUUUCUCGGCAUGUCAUUUUUUAUGAAACGAUUUUUCCGUUUUCUAACAAAAAUAAGUUUGUUGAAUGCAUGCAGGAACCAAGUCAACUUACAACGUUUCCAUUUUAUAAUGAAUGGCUAAAUUGCCCUAACUCAAUUAAAACCCAUGAUUUUAUGAAUCUUGCCCUUAGUCAAAAGCCACUUCCAUCUUUUCAAGAAGACCACAUGACGCCCACUCAAAUGCAAACUCCUUUGUCCAACUAUGACAGCCAUGUUAUUCGCACACUAGCUACAUUACAGGAAAAGCAGAAAGAUACUAUUGUUGCAGAAGAUCAAAGCGACAACAACUUGACUGCCUCAUUAAAUGAAUCAAUCUCAGAAGAGCAAAACUGCAACAACACUGCCACUUCAUCUACCAAAGUAACCAACUCAGAUAAAAUUCAAACCGAGAACUCCUUAUCAACUGACUUGACCAGCUCAGAUAGAACCCAGACCGAGGAUCCAUUUUCAACAAAUCAAAAAAAUUAUUCUGAUAUCUCUGGAAAGUUAUUAGUUGAUUUUUCGAGUUACACUAAAAAUCAACCAACCACCUUAUCUGACAUAUCAGGUAAUCCAGUCGUUGAUCUCACGAGACCACAACAAUUACAAACAAAUCUAUCAUCAUCUCAAAAUACUCAUUCCAUGAUAAGCCGACAAAAAGCCAACAACAAUCAUAACCUAGCAUUACAAGCCUCUCAAAACCAACCAAUUGAGCCAAAAACUUUAAAAUCGGCUCUCAAGAAUCCCAUAUGGGUUACGGCAAUGGAAGAAGAAAUUAAGGCUUUGCAUGACAAUAAUACUUGGCAUCUUGUUCUUCGUCCUAUUCACAAUAUUGUAAUAGGAUCAAAAUGGGUUUACCGGAUCAAAUACAAAGAAGAUAGGACGAUUGAUAGGUACAAGGCACGUCUCGUUGCCAAGGGAUUCACACAAAUCUCAGGAGUGGACUUUGAUGAGACCUUUAGUCCUGUCAUAAAACCAACCACUAUUCGACUGGUUAUGGCAAUUGCAGUGAGUUCAAAAUGGCCAAUGAAGAAAUUAGACGUCAAGAAUGCUUUUCUUCAUGGCAAAUUAAAAGAAACAGUGAACAUGGAGCAGCCCCCGGGUUUCAAAAAUCCUAAUCUAUCAUCAUUUGUCUGUAAACUAAACAAGUCCAUUUAUGGGCUCAAGUAAGCUCCACGCACCUGGUUUGAAUAUCUUUUUAAAGCAUUAUUUAAACUAGGCUUUGUUAAUAGUAAAUCUGAUUCAUCUUUGUUUAUUUUACAGGACAAGGGAGUACUCAUUUUGCUUUUGAUAUAUGUAGAUGAUGUUAUAAUAACAGGAAAUAACUCUUCUGUUAUUCAAUCGAUCAUCUUAACAUUAAGUACAAUCUUGCACUGAAAGACCUUGGGACACUUCGGUAUUUUCUUGGGAUAGAAAUCAAAUAUUUCCAAAAUGGGGUAUUUUUAUCUCAAACUAAGUAUACACAAGAUUUACUAUCAAAGACAAAGAUGCUUGAUUGUACUCCUGUGGCAACACCCAUGGCUAUAAAAACAACUACAAAUCUUAAGGACAGUGAACCUGUGAAUGCUACAGAAUGUCGAGGCCUAGUUGGUGGCUUACAAUAUUUGACCUUUACAAGGCCGGAUAUAACAUACGCUGUAAAUAAAGUAUGCCAGCACUUCAAUGAUCCAACCAAGGCAGAUCUCAAAGCAGUAAAAAGGAUCCUUCGAUAUCUCAAAGGAUCAUUAAACUAUGGCAUUCGUUUUUUGUCUCAAAGUUCAUUAACACUAUACUCCUUUUCUGACUCUGAUUGGGCAGGUUGUCCCGAGACUAGACGAAGCACCACAGGUUAUUGUGUCUACUUAGGAGCAAACUGCAUUUCUUGGAGCUCAAAGAAGCAAACCACCGUAGAAAGAUCAAGUGCCGAAGCAGAAUAUCGAUCAAUGGCCACCACUGCAGUUGAGAUCACAUGGAUUCAAUUUCUUCUUCGCAAAAUUGGUCUCACAAUGAACAAGAAAACACUUCUAUUGUGCGACAAUAUGAGUGCUCUCUACAUGACCAAAAAUCCGGUCUUCCACGCGAGGACAAAGCAUAUCGAGCUCGACUUCCACUUUGUUCGAGAAAGGUCGCGCAAGGAUCCAUCUUCACAAGGCAUGUACCUUCAUCACGGCAAAUUGCGGUGUGUUCACAAAAUCAUUAAGCAAAUACCAAUUCCAAAACUGCCGCAACAAGUUAGGAGUCCAUCCCAUGGACAUUCCAAACUUGAGGGGGGUUGAUAAGAUUCCUUCGUUAAUGCCAAAAGAUCAGCCAAUAGAUUAUCACUCGUUAAUGCCAAAAGAUCAUCCAACAAAUUAUAAAUCAUAUCUUCAAUCAGCAAAAUCAUCUCAUCAAAGUUACAUAUGUAAAGGACUCCUUGACAAGCUCUCAAACGGUCACAAUAUCCCAGGAUGUACGGUACAGCAGACCAAUCAAGUUCAGAGAGUUUGUAAAGCAAUAACAUAUUUCUUUUGCAAUUGUCUUGCAUAUUAUUUCUUUAGAAAGGACGGUACAGAAGCGUCCUUAACUAUAGCAUUAGCUUGUAUUUCAAAAUGCAAUAUGCACCAUCAGCGGUGUCUUUUUUAUUCAUGCUUGGGAAAUAGUGGUUAUUUUCCAAGGAAGAUCUACAAGAACUCAAUAUUGUUUCUUAUGUUUUUUGCAUAAUAUCUGCCAUGUCCUGAAAAACAAUGUUGUCUUAUUCAGGUUAUUAGUUUUGACAUAUUUGUAGAAUGUGAUGGUUGAACUCUUUGUUGCAGCUUAGUCUUAAAUUAGGACUUAAUUACAUCUCAUUUAAAUUUGGGAUUUAAUAUGAAUAUGUAUUUGCAUAUACUAUUCUAUUUUACAUUUUUAUGUGCAUGUAUUGAUAUGGAUGAUCUCCCCCCCGCCCCCCUUCUAAAUUCUAUUCUGCUGUCCUCAUUCUUUUUCUCACCCUUCUAUUUAUUUAAUAACUUUUAUUACGACCUUUCUUUAGUUUUAAUUCUCAUUGGUUUAUGUAAUCUUCUCCGGAGUCAUUGAGGUUCAUAUAUAUAUAUAUAUAUAUUUUCCUUGUUCUUCAGAUAACCGGGCUCAAGGUAAUUAGCGUCCAAGUGGUGAAAGAUAAGUUGGCACCCGCAAUGAAGAAAGCCGACCUCACGAUAGAGUUUGGCAAAGGCUUCUACUGUGUACCCUAAAUUUUCGAAUCGGCAUGCGAACGUGGAAUCAUUCAGAAGGAAGAACACAAUGAAACGGGAGGUUUUCAAUGAUAGACAUCAAGCUGAACAGUAUUUGAUUGAAACUACUGAGGUUCUUAACAAGAUAAUCAUGAUCUUGAGGAAAAAUUUGCUCGAAAGGCAUUGACUAUAUAAAGUAUUCCGAGAUGAUCGAGCUGGGUCAGGUCAAUGCAAAUAUCGGAUCAAUACAAAUAGAAGAGGACUUGAAAGUGGUGUUAUGCCAACAAUCGGAGAAUUUGACCUGCACAUAAAUGGUUUCUGGAGAUUUGGCCAUACCAAGCAUAUCCCUUAGAACCAAACGAAACUCGGUGUUGUUGAUGCUCUUCAUUGGGACUCAAAAUUACUCUGCUGAGUGCUUAGGGUGAGAGAUUUGUACUAGUUCUUCAUGCUCUUCUAAUGGGCUUUUCCAUUGCCUUGAUUGUCUUUAACUGUUAGGCUGCUUAGGGUCCAUAUUUAUCGUCCCCAAAAAAUUGUAAUCAUUUAGGCAUUGUACAUAGGUGGCGUAAUUCAAAAAUAUUUGUCCAAGUUCUUGUAGUUCACUAGUUCAUAACCUUUGGGGCAGACUUGUCAAGUGGUCAUUUCCUUCUUUCUUUUGUGUUUUAGGCUCCCUCUGGUACUGAUGUUGGUGGGGAUAAGCAUGUCGGGUUCGGUUUGGGAAAAUUAAGAUAAAUGAUGGAGCUAUUAGCAUCCCUUCCAAAAAUCUUAUAAAACCCAUUACUUAGCCACUUACCAUUUAGACCUUAAUUUCAAUUAUAUUCUAAAAAAAAAAAUUUAUUAAACCCAUCUUAAUACUCUAAGGGCGUAUUUUAUCCUUUGAUUAUAAACAUGUAAUAUUUAUAAUUUUUAUUUAAAAAUCAUAUUUAUCUUAUAUUAUUAUUACCUCCACCAAACAAACGGAGUCUCGACAGUAUAGAAAUAUUAAAUUUGUUAAUACAGACGACAGAGACAUAUAUCUAAUUGUAACUCAACCCCGUUAUUACUCAAGUCUUGUUGACUAUUAUUUAAUAGCAUGAUUUGCGGUUGUGAUCACCUAGUCUAAACUCUAUAAACCAUAGUCAAGCAGCCAGCUGUCUGAGUGAAAUUUAGUUAUCGCUUGACUUUGACAUUAACACAUCCACAGAAUGAGAUAAUGAAUUGAUGAUACCAACAAAUUUGAGCGUUCUAUUUUCCACAUAACAAGAUAGCAGAGUAGCACUCAAUUCGGAAUUUGGGAUUCAGCUGCCCCAAUUGAGCACGUUUCUGGAAAAACAGACAAAUACAAUGAAAGUGGCAGUUUGGCAUCAUUAUUUGUUACAGCUAAUAAUAAAGACUUAAAUGACUUCUAUCUUUUAUGACUCUAAUUGAUUUUGGUCUAUUUUAUAUAUCCCGGAUAUUUCUCAAUGAAAAGUAUGAUAAUAUGUAAAAACUAAAUUAUGAAAAAUAAAUGUUGAUCCUCUGCUAAUCUAUUUCCAAAAUUUGCAACACUCCCAUCGAGAGAGGAAUUAGCAUGUCAUCAUGAUCAUAGAGUAAGUUGAGAAAUUUAAUUUUUUUUAUUAUUACAUUUUGAUACAUUAAUUAAUCAUGUGAACACCAAUAAAUGUACCAUAUCAAUCAUCUGUUGAAGCAAGUAGUAUAAGGUUUGAAUCCAUGUUCAGAUGAGUGGAAAGAGAAUUGAAUUGCUGUUAGGUUUAAAUUAAAAAAACAAAUUCAAACUGUAGAAGCCAUGACGAUCGAUGUGUUGAUCAACGUCCUUCUCAACAAGUUAUAUUACAAGGCAGCAUCAGCAUGCGUAGGCAAUGAGGCAUGCAUUUUUUUUUUAAGUAUAUGUACUAGAUAAAUUAUAUCGAAUAGCAAAUUAUUUUUUACUGCACUUUCGAUCGGUAUACAUGAUCUUAAACUAAAAAGGUGGGUUAGGGCUCAAUGUCACGGACCACUCAAAUUCUGGGACAAAGAGAUUAAAUGCACAAGCCAAGAUGUGCUAGCUUGACUUGAUGCUAGAAGGUUCCAGCUCUAGUCAAGAAUGGCAACCUAAGUAGACAACAAAUUAAUAUUAAAGCUACCAAGCAGCUCCAAAAUGAGGACGUCUACAUAUUUUGUAAUUGAGUAUAUCAAUCUUUUAGUUACAAGUUUUUACAUGUGUCGGUGUAUUUUUUAAAUUAUCAAUCAUACAAAUACAAUAUAAAUUAAAAUAAAGUAAUUGGAUAUCGAUGCAUGAUCACGUUGAGUCGUCGACAAUACAAAUAAGAAAGGAGACUUGUUCCAUUUUCUAACACCAUAUUAAAAAAGAACCAAGUUGUUGAGUAAUUGAACGUCUACGAAUAUGAACACCACAAAUAUGGAGGAAGUUGCAGUAGGGCACUGCCAACGAGUCAAAAGAUAGUGACAUGCAUGCUCAAGAAAAUUAUUAACCUCAGGACUUUUCAAAGAACCCAGCAAGUUGUUAGAUUAAUUUGUUUCGACCAUUCAGGUUGUCAUUAUUAUCAGUGUAAAAUUUUUUAUUUUUUUUUCUUCCACUAUGGUUCAUGGUCAUGGUGAUUUUCCUCUAUAAAUGGGCUGGCAAGAAUUGGUGUUAGUAUAACACACUUUGCAAUUUCGUUUAUCUCUAUGGCUAAGUUCUUUUCCUCUCUCAAUACCCCUUCAAUGGCUCCAGUCGUCUUGUUUCUUCUUGGGCUGCUAAUGGCUACCUUAGAUACAACAAGUAUAUAUCUUAAUUUCUCGAGAAAAUGAUCAAAACCUCUUUGUUGUUCAUAAAAAAUUUAAUUUCUUUUAAUGUUUCAAAAUCUAUCAAAUUCGCUUUCAAGAGCUUGACCAAGUAGUUUUUAAGCAAUGUUUUAGCUGAUCCUCGAUGAUCGAAUAUGGAAGUGAUAGUGACUAAAAACUGAUUUUGCACUUUAUCCAUUUCCUACUUUUUUUUCUUUUAAUCCAUCAAAACAAACCCGUACGUUAUCAUUCAAUUUUCUGUGUUUUAAUAAUACUUUUUUUUUUUUUAUACCUAUUGUGUUUUAAUAAUACUUGACCUAUUACAACUUUUUUUUAUAAACAUUGAGUUUUAAUUAGUGUUUACCACAUCAAGGGAAAAAAAUAUUAAAAGCAUAAAACAAGUUAGAAUUUAACAUUUUUUUUUUUUUAAAGACAGAAUUUUUGAAAUAUACGGUGCGAAAUGAUUACUUUACCGAGACCCAACGUAACCAUUUGAUCGUUUUCCCUAUCCUUCUCUCUAUCCAUGGAUUAAUAUUAUUCAUUAACUACUAUUAUAAGUUCUUAAUUUGUUCAUUAUCUAUAUAUUGCAUUUUACAGGUGCCCAAAUAGGUGUUUGCUAUGGAAUGCUUGGUAACAACUUACCAUCAAAACGAGAUGUCAUAGCUCUCUACAACCAAAACAACAUCAGAAGAAUGAGACUAUAUGAUCCAAACAGAGAAGCACUCGAAGCUCUCAGAGGCUCCAACAUUGAAGUCAUGUUGGGCCUUCCCAACAACGACCUCCGAAGAAUCGCUUCCAAUCAAGCCGAAGCAAACACUUGGGUCCAAAACAACGUCCGAAAUUUUGCUAACAAUGUCAAGUUCAAAUACAUUGCUGUAGGAAAUGAAGCAAAAC
rnacentral:lncRNA from 1 species